rnacentral:lncRNA from 1 species
GAUGAAGGGGUGCAAGCUGGGCCACAUACCCAUACCUAUCACCUAAGCCUAACAUCUAAAGCCGGAGGCCCCGACCGAGCCAUCUGCCGGGUCCGGGGCUCAAACCGGUCUGACGCACUCACAUGUGUCGUCGCCGCCUCUUACACUCAUCCAUCUUCAGAGCAGAUUGAGGUGACAACCUUGGCAGGUCCUCCGCCAUCAAUGCCACCACGACACCAAAAGACGACCUCCACCUACGCGAGCCUUGGCAGGUCGUCUGCCAUUGACACCACCACGACGCCAGCCGACGACCUCCACCUACGCGACUCCAUAACAGAAAUCCAUGCUAGGAAAGGGUCACACCACCGCUGUCACCCACCACCCACAAGCGCCACCCAACCCUAAGGUUUCCAAAGCGGCGCCUUCUAGAAGGGAACGGCGUCGUGAGCGCCGCCGCCGCCCAAUAGAGUUAGGGCUUUCACCCGGGAAACCUAGGGAAAGGUGAAGUGAGAAAAUCAGUCCAUACCGACGCCUCCAAGGAAGGAAACGACACCCUCAGGCGUCACCGUCGGCGCGGCCGGUCAUGGCCGGCCAGGGAUUUCGCCCGAGCUAGAUCUCCGUCACCAGCAGCACCUCCUGUACAGAACCGGCAACCAAGAGGAAGCGCGGCCCGACCAGGCUGGCCCGCACGACGAACAGGGAAGGAAGGGACGCGUCAGAUCGCGCACACCGACCGCCGCAGAAACAGCCGCCGGCCGCCAACGACCACCGGAUCCCGCUGCCCGCGCAGCCGGGACGCCGGAUCCACCACCCGCACGACUGUUAGCGGGCCGUGCCUUGCCAAUGGAGUCGCCGCUCCAGAUCUGGGGUUCCCCACACAGGAGCAGGACAACCAAGGCCCCGCCGCCAUCAUCCUUGGCGCCCCGGGCUUGCCCGACGGCUGCCUCAGGCAGCGGCGAGGGAGAGAGGAGGGGAGGGGGUGAGGAGGAGAAGCGUCUAGGGUUGGAAGGAGGAGGCGGCUAACACCAUGCAUGUCCGCCGUUUGCAUGCGACGAGACCAUGGCACAGUUGAAGCACCGAUGGACUGGCCUCCAGAUGAUAAUACAGUGAUAGCAAGCCAUGUGAUUGAGCUUCCGCCAUCUCAUGGGUCAUCUCGAUCGGAAGUGUGGACAGCCGUGCAUCUGGAAUGUCUCACCUUUGAUUAGUUGGUCGUGCAUGUGUGCCUGGAGUACGUACGUAGCCCCUCGAGUCUCCAUGCAUGCACGCGUCCAGCGAAGCAGGCCCACCCUGUCAGAGUUGUAGAAGCAGAACGGAGUCAGGUCUUCCAAGAUCACGGCGGGACGUAAAAAGGGCUACGCAUGCAACUCAACUGCCGAUGAGACAGAAGCAGCGUGAAGCCCGGCCGGCGUCGCCGUGCUUGUGGUGGUGGCGGUGGCAUGGCGGCCUCCUCAUGUCGCUCACGCCGCGUCGGGCGGUGGCCAUCAGGCACGUCGUCGUCACGCAGCUCAGCUCGACGGAGGACGGAUGGAGUUGACGAAGGAGGGAGACUCGUACAGUUCACGGUCGGACGCAUCCACUGUUUAGCUUUGCCUACUUACUCAUGGUGGAAGGCAACGAAUGUUAACAUUCAGCUAGCAUGCGGCCGUACCUGUUGCAACUACACCACCGUUACAUAGCAUCAUCACCACCGCUACGUCGGUCAACAAUCUCAAGCACCUACACGAGGUAGCUCCAUCUCCAUGGAAUAAAAUCAUUUUGGAUUAAAAUGAGCGAGGCAUGUACGUAUACCAAGAGACAAGAGUUUGAAAUUUUGUUAGGGGAGAAACUCAGUGUAUCUGUACGAGUGUUAAACCGAAAUCCCAUCGCGUGACCCCCGCGUCGCCCUCUGGCGUCUCGGGGGGUGAAACCCUACCGCCGCCACCUAGUACUCUCGUACUCCUGCCCGUCUCGCCGCCGCCAGAGGCGCCCACCCGCGAAGCUCGGCUAGGAUCCAGGGACGGCGGCUGCGGGGCGCAUCUCCAACUAACGUGACACGACGUCGUUCGCUGCUCGGAGGAGUGGUGUGGUGUUGUCGAGGGUCUGGUAGGCGGAUGGACUGUGGAUCAACGUUGAUGCGCGGAUGGCGUGCUGGGCGCGUUCCCGAUGCGUGGUGACGACGCUCCUGGCUUCGCGCAUGAGCGAGGGCAGCCGUGGUGCUGUUCCAGCUGCAGCGAAGGAAAGGUUGGGCUGUGGUGUGCUGAGCUGCGCUUCUCAGAUCUGAUGCCUUUCCUUUGCUCGAUGGAGACGAGGCACCUGCAGGCUGCUAAGAGCAAGCGGCCAGUUGAUUGGCUGGGUUGGGGAUCGACCUCAUUAUCCCGCCGAUCGCUCGAGUCGGAAAAAAAUCCUAUAGGACCGGGUCGUACACUCCUGAUCAGUGAGACCAUCUCCUGCAGCUGACACGUAGCAGAAUGAAUCUCAAAGCAACAGCCAGUCUCAAAUCCCCUUUUCUUCUCCAACGCCCACGCUCCGGCUUGCCGCUGGUGCUUGCUACUCUGGAUCCGCCGCAACUCUCCUUCUCCCUACGCCGUAGAACGGUAGAAUGACUGCUGCUCCGCCCCAGCUGCUCUUCCCCAUCCAUGGCCGUGCUUCUCAGCGGGUCGGCAGCUCGGCGUGGUGCUCCAUCCACAACCACGCUCAUCGAUGCCCCUGCUGCACGCAGCAUCGAUUCCGGCCUCAAGUUCAGGUGGCUAGGUGUAGUAGCGAUUCCGAUGCUGUCUAAUUAUGAAAAUGAUUUUAAUUUUGCUUGGAAGAAAUGGAUUUGGAGAUUUGUAGCUUUUUGCUAUCAUGAUGGAGGUGUGCCCGUUCCGUGAGGAAGAAUCCAGCGCCGGCGGUGGUGCGAGCGGGGCCUUCGAGGAGGUUGGCCAUGGAAGCAACGACCAGAGUAGUUCUGUCGCCAGGGGCGAGCUGCUAGGACGCCGAUGAGGUUGGUUAUGAACGGUAGAGGAGAGUAGCGGAGACGAGACCAGAGACUCUGCUGGAAUCAGAGGAUAAUUGCUUUGAGAUCCGUUCUGCUACGUGUCAUCUGCGGGAGCUGGUCUCACCGUCGGGGCUGUACGACCUGGUUGUAUAGGAUUUUUUUCCGCUGGAGUCCCCUUGCGCCUGUUGUUGCCAAGACCUUGCCUCGCCCUUGCUCUCAGCAUAUAAUUUGAAAUUUUGUUAGGGGAGAAACUCGGCAUAUAAUUUAGAAAAAGAAGCUGGAUGUCGACGGUGUUUACUUUACCGAAAAAGGCUUUCACCCCGCUUUAUAUAUAAAGCACCAAACCACAAGCAUGCAGUACAAACCACACGCCACGUCACCGCAACACACACAUACCCAAGACAUGAUACAUAAGCGCUGAGCGCAGCAACACCACUCCUAGCACUAUCGCCCCGAAGAUAUGAAGCUACAUAUGACGAACCAUGCGCUCCAAGGCGGCGCCUUCAGGAAGGAUACGACGCCGGAGCACCGCCACCGCUCGAUCCAAGGAUCAGAGUUUCCCCCGGAGCCGCAUGACGGGCAAUGAGAGCCGCGACGACGCCUUCAAGAAGGGAACGAUUUCACCGCCGCCGGUCCGUCCGAAGAUAGAGCAGGUUUUCACCUCGGCCAACAGUCACCGCCACCGAACGCCACACCCCGGCAACCACGCCGCCCACACGACCAUGAUGACCGGGCAGCACCAAGGCACGGGCUUUGUCCAAGAGCACCGUGCAACCACCACCACCAGGGCCGCCGCCCCAGCAUCCAAGACCUCGACACCAACUCACCCGUGACCCGCCGCCCCCCAACGAAAGAGACGAGCGGAAAGGUCCCACCUUUCGCGCCCCUGGGCGACCCCCAGCGUCGAGACCCAAUAGGUCGACCAGAACUGGCAUGCACCGACCCAUCCUGCUGCCCCAAGUGCGAGAUGAGCUCGGUCCUGCAGCAACGAGAGGGGGACGAGGUCAGUCCUGCUGCAACGUGCGCGAGACGAGCUCGGUCCUGCUGCAUCAUGCGCGAGACGAGCUCUGUCCUGCUGCAUCGGGCGCGAGACGAGCGGUGGACCGCGGCUGGGAGAGGACCAGCCCUUUGAUGGGAGUAGCGUCCGGGCGACGAGGAGAUGGGGUGAAGGUCAAGACGGCCCGAACGCAGACAAACCGACGCCGGAGAAGCCGACCGUUGUCGCGGACAGAUCCAUCGAGCCACCGUGAAGCCGCCACGACACCGGUAGGCCACCGAGACCUGCCCAUGCCGCCGCCCACGGCCGGAGCAGCAGCCACGCCUGGCCGCUGCCCAUCCGCAUCGCCCGGAGAGCUCCAAGCGCCGAAGCCGCCAGGCACGCAUCAUCGGAGCCACCGCCACUGCGCCACCACCCCGACCAGCAGAGGGGGCCUCGGCCAGGGCCGCCACCAUCAGCCCUAGCCGUCACGGCCCGCGCUGCCGAGAGGCCAGAUCCGGAAAAGCCGCCGCAGCCGCCGACUCCGACCUCCAGCCCGCACCACCACCACCAUCUGCCGCGGUGCCACCACCACCUGCCGCGGCCACGGCAGAGGAGGCCACCGGCAGCCCACACCGCCCGCAGCCCGCGCCGCCAUGAGCCAGAUCUGGCCGCGCAGGAGCCGCCGCCGUCUCGGGCACAAGCGUGCUACCCACCUAGCCGCCUGCCGCGGGGGAGGAAAGAACGACAGGGAGCCGCCCCAGCCCGCCGCGUCGCCAUGAAGCCCGGCCGCAGCUCCACGACCCGGCCCAGGGCGCCGGCCCGCGCCAGCAACGCCCGAGCGGGGAGACAAAGGGGCCCCGCCGCCGCCGGCAGCAGCAGGGCUUCGCCUGGCCGCGCCCCUCGGCGGCGGCGAGGGAGGAGGAGGGGGGAGGAGGGAGCGGCGGCGAGGGUUGGGGUUGGCCUCCGGCCGCCUCGCAGGAGACGACGCAGAGGAAGCGCUUCCGGGAAGCCCUGUCCGGGUUUCUAACCGGAUAUAUGUUUUUGUUGCUUGUGCCAAGGUUCAAGACCUUGAUGUGUUGACGGUGUUUACUUUCGCUAGAUUACACCUUGGCUUGUCGAAACAAUGCGCGUUCUGGUCAAACAAAAGGCCCGUGUUAGAAAAUAUUUACACUUCACUUAAGCAGCAACGGUUUGACGGACAGUCAAAGCCUACACUGUCACUGAUCGCAUCAUUUUUAAAUGCUGUUUCCCGACGGUACGUAGCCUCUCGACGGAACUUCAUGCAGUUGGCAAUGUCGGUGUUCAAGAGGGACUCAUGAACUCAUACUGCGUGCGUGCGUGUGUGUGUGCAUGCGAUGUGCAACAGGUACUCCCUCCGUUCCCAAAUAUUUGUUUUUUUAGGCAUUUCAAAUGGACACAACAUACGGAUGUAUGUAGACAUAUUUUAGAGUGUAGAUGUACGUGUGUGCGUGUCCGUGUGUGCAUGCACGUACGCAGCCGGCUCCUCAAGUGUCCAUGUACGCGUCAAUGGAACACGCGGCCCAUGGCACGUCAGAGCUGUAGAAGCGCAGCGUCUAAAUUGAAAUGGCGGCGGCUUCAAGUCCCUGUCGAGAGCGUCUCAGUCCAGGCGCUGGCCGCGUUGUACCCUUGUACCUGUUGUAGCUGUGCAUUGGUAGCUCUGUUCCCGCUUGCUUCUGUGGCUGCUCGCUGUUAUAGCUUGGAUGGAUAUGGAUGCUUCUUCUUACGAAUUUAAUCAAAACUCAGCUUGGAUGGUUGUCACAUGUACUGAUCUAUAGUUUUGUUCAAUGGAUAUAUAAUUAAAAUUUCAACAACAUUUUCAUCCAAAAAUUCGACAUGACCUCUCUUUAUUCUUGUACCAUUUUCACAUGUCAGAAAUAUACACAUAUGAUGAUCCAUAUAUUCAGCUCAAUAAGGUGCAUAUAUGCCCCUAGACUUGACAAGCCAGAAUGAGUAUGCAUGAAUUUCAGAUUUCAAGCAUAAGGUGAGUCCUUGACUCACAAGUUGCAUCCAAAAGCAUAAAGUGAGUCUGCGUCUCACCACACACACCACAAUAUCACAAGAGACACUGAUGGAGGAUUUCAACCCAAAAGCAUCGACUUCACAAAGUAGUGGCAUCAUUUUCAUAAAGAUCGCUACACACUACAGCAUCACAAAAUGGCAUGCUACACUCUUCGUCUCCUCUUCGGCGUGAUAUCCUUUGAUGCCUUUCGUAACAACUUUUGGUGGAGAAGUGGGAAUCCAUGUUUCCAUAGAAAGUUGCCUACAUAAUAUAUAAAUUUCAUGCAUUAAAAAUAGGACCAAUGUCAUACACAAUUGAAGAAAAACAUCAUUUUCUUCACGUCCUUGUGAUUGGAUCAGGGUUGCAUUAUAGGACAGCAAAUGAAGAUGUCACUACAAGUGGGCUAUCAAGAGAUGGUUUACUACACAAAAAGGCUUUUUUUAAUAAUAUAUAAAACAUCGAACAUUCGUAGAGAUAUUACAAAGAAGCAAAGAAAGUUACCUCAUCAUCAUAGGGCGAGGGCUGGCUUGUGGGACAGCCAAUGAGGUCGUCACUCCAAGAAGGCUACCAAGAGAUGUUUGACUAUAAAAUAUGCAGUGCAUAAGGAUAAAACAUUUCACAUGUGUAGAGUUAUUGAAGAGAAGCAGAAUUAAUUUACCUCCUCUUCCUAGGCAAGGAAUGACUUGCAGGACAAGCAACUGAGACAUCUAGGGCUGGCUAUGAUUUUCAACUCCAGGGCCGACUACACUUCAGUGUCAACUAUCUAUGAGUCUCAACCUCAGAACGACUCGUCGACUCAUCGACUCGUACCUUGGUGAUGGGACCAGGGAGCUGAUGAGGGUUCGUUUCAGGUUAGCCUUUUAUGUUCACAUACAAAAACCUGAUGAGAUAUUCAUGAUUGCCACGCUUGCUGCUUGAUUAAUCAGUGGACAAUAUCUUACCAUCGCAUAGAUUAAUAUGCAAAAAGAGGUCUNNNNNNNNNNNNNNNNNNNNNNNNNNNNNNNNNNNNNNNNNNNNNNNNNNNNNNNNNNNNNNNNNNNNNNNNNNNNNNNNNNNNNNNNNNNNNNNNNNNNNNNNNNNNNNNNNNNNNNNNNNNNNNNNNNNNNNNNNNNNNNNNNNNNNNNNNNNNNNNNNNNNNNNNNNNNNNNNNNNNNNNNNNNNNNNNNNNNNNNNNNNNNNNNNNNNNNNNNNNNNNNNNNNNNAUAUUAGACCUCUAAUUAGUGUCUGUUGUCUGUCUUGUUGCCCCUUUUACUACUACACCAGAACACCAUCAAACCUCUAAGGAGAAUCACACCAUGAAAGCAAGCAAGGAGAGCGGAUUACCUGCAGUGUGACCUUGAUAUGUCGAGCUCGGCUGCUCCUCCAGAUUGAAGACGGUGCGGCGGCCAUAUCGGGGGUGGUGCCAGUGGAGGGCGUAGGGUCUGGGGUGGGGUGGAAGAGGGAGAGGGGAUCGAGUGCCUUGGAACGGACGUGCCGUGCAUCCGGGUUCUUCCCCACGCGUGGCUAUUUUUGGCCGCAGAAAACAAAUCAGAAAUGACCAUCCUAACAUAGUUUGCUCCGUAGUGCUCCCACCAAAUCUCUUAAUAGUUAAUUAUAUGUCCAGCAAUUUUUGGUGGAUCAUUACUAUGCCAUUUGGAAAGUAAUAUAUUAAUAGCCAUUGUGUCAUUUUACAUAUUAGAUCGGCACAUCUAUUAGGCGAUAGCUUAUAGUUUUAUGUGAUGUUAGAUUAGUACAUGAACAUUCGUAUUGGCACUCAAUGGUGUUACAUGUAUCAACAUUUUGUGGUCCAAAUAAUGUUGAAGAGCCUAGUUGAGCUACAUCCUUAUUAGUAACUUCUAAAUAUUUCAAGUACACGCGACAUGAAAAUUUAUUUUUCUAUUUGAAUUUUUUUUACAUGGUACAUUUUACUAUUUUCAGUUAACAUUCAUCUUUCCCAAUGGAAUACAAAAGAAGAGAGGAAGAUCUGCUGGAACAUGCUUUAGCUAGUCCAUGUCUCUAGAUCAUAGGAUGCAGAUUCAUUUCUGUUCUAGACCGUAGGAUCUGAUGUAGCAUGCUUAGUACUCCCUCCGUUCCAAAAUAGAUGACCCAACUUUGUACUAACUUUGUACUAAAGUUAAUACAAAGUUGAGCCAUCUAUUUUUGAACGGAGGGAGUAUUUUGCAUAGUUUUAAAUAGCAGGCUAUGCUAAAUAGCGGUAUGUAGUCCUCCAAAUUAGCUAUAGAGGGGCUAUAUAUAACCGGCUAUUUAGAACUUCUUAGUUCAUGUAGAUAUAUUUUCAUAUGCAACUACUACUAAGGAAUUAAUUAACCCACUAUAUAUAUAAAGUAGAGUAAACUAAUUCCUUUCACAUGGCAUGAGUAUAUGUCUACUUAAAUAUUGUGAUGCGACAUAUCAUUAACUUUUGAAAAACUUCUAGUAAAGAUGGCCUUUAUUUUAAAGUAUGUGAACUGUUGUAUUUUCCCUUGAAUUUUUUCUCCAUAUAAGAAAUAAUUUUCCCCCAUAUGACUUCACAUAGUAAGAAAGGAUCCAAUGUUUACCUUCAAUGCUGCAUUUACAAAUUGUUAAGGAAUAGUUUGGUGAGACAUCAUAAGCAGUAGCAUACACGAGGUUUUUCUUCUUCUCGCGCUUAUCUAAGCAAAACACAAAGUUACAAAUCAAACAUCUCACAUAGGGUGGGUUGAAAAAUCUUAUAGUUCUUUCUAUCUAAUGUAACUCUGUAGAUAAUAGGAAUAAUGAAGCACCUUAUUAGACACCCUAGCUAGCUCACAGAUUUGACAUAAAAAUGAAAUUAAGCUAAUGGAAAAUAACAACAAAGCAAUUAAAAUAUAUCUCCACACAAAUAAUGUAAUUAUAUUUCACAACCAUUCAAUCAAUUUUGCUCAGAGUUUACUUCCAAGGAUCUUUCUUGAUUGCGCUUCAACAAAUUAUCUAACAAUUGUGUAUCUAGAAUGAAAACAAAAGAUAAAUAAUUUUGUAGCCAUGAUUAGGAAGGUCGGUCAAUCUACUACAUAAAAAGAAUAGAACAAUGGCACAUAAAAAUGGAUAAAAAAAUUGGGUUAUAGUGAUGACUUACCUUAAUGUUGUGCCAUCAAUUUAUCUAGAAAGAGGGGCAUGCAGUCUUUGGAAAGAUCACUAGGGUACAGUCAAAGUGAUUAUUAAGAAUGCUAUUUCAAAUUUUAGAUGUACUUUCAAUACUUCCCGAAAUGAACUGAACAAUGCCAUACAAAAAUAUCUGUUUUCAACAUGUAUAUUCAAUAAUAAAAUAUGCAAACAUAUUGGAUUACAAUAAUGAAUUAUCAUAGCGUGGUGUGCCAUCAGCUGAUCUAGAAAGAGAGUGAACUCACUUGCAUGCAUGAACAUUGGUGCAAUCGAAGUAAUUAUGAAGAGCAUAUUAUGUCAAAUUUUUGGUGCACUUUAAGAAGCACUUACCUAUAUGUUCUCCAAAUCUAUAAUCCAAACCCGCCAUCUUGAAUGAGUGAGAAUCACAUUAUGUGAAAAAAUGAAGAUAGAAAACCAUAUAUACAUAAACACGAAAAUGUUUGAAUAUAACUACAGAUCUAUAAUACCAACACAAAUAUUGAUGUGCCUUUACAUGCUCUCACUACUAGGAAAAAGGCUAUAGAUGGGAUGGACACUAAUGGCGCACCUGCCAUGUGGUGCACCAUUAGUAUCUACUAAUGAUGCACCAUGUUCAUGUGCGCCAUUAGUGUGGAAGACACUAAUGGCGCACCAGGGACAUGGUGCGCCACUACUGUUGUUUAUUAUUUUUUCUUUUUUGCAAAAAUUACUAAUGGCGCACAGUGGCACAGUGCGCCAUUACUAGUUUAAACUAGUAAUGGCGCACUGUGCCACGGUGCGCAAUUAGAAUAUAUACUUUUUUUAUUUUUUUGCAAAACUUUUAAUGGCGCACCAUAAGCAGGUGCGCCAUUAGGAACCAGGGUCACUAAUGGCGCAUUUGCAUACGGUGCGCCAUUAGUACCAGGGUUACUAUUUNNNNNNNNNNNNNNNNNNNNNNNNNNNNNNNNNNNNNNNNNNNNNNNNNNNNNNNNNNNNNNNNNNNNNNNNNNNNNNNNNNNNNNNNNNNNNNNNNNNNNNNNNNNNNNNNNNNNNNNNNNNNNNNNNNNNNNNNNNNNNNNNNNNNNNNNNNNNNNNNNNNNNNNNNNNNNNNNNNNNNNNNNNNNNNNNNNNNNNNNNNNNNNNNNNNNNNNNNNNNNNNNNNNNNNNNNNNNNNNNNNNNNNNNNNNNNNNNNNNNNNNNNNNNNNNNNNNNNNNNNNNNNNNNNNNNNNNNNNNNNNNNNNNNNNNNNNNNNNNNNNNNNNNNNNNNNNNNNNNNNNNNNNNNNNNNNNNNNNNNNNNNNNNNNNNNNNNNNNNNNNNNNNNNNNNNNNNNNNNNNNNNNNNNNNNNNNNNNNNNNNNNNNNNNNNNNNNNNNNNNNNNNNNNNNNNNNNNNNNNNNNNCCUCCCAUCCCGCCGACGACGACCGCACGGGGUGCAGUACGAGGAGGAGGACGGGAUCCGUCCGUUGCUUCCGACGGCCGCCUCCGCCGACGAGCCGGGCAGCCACACGCGCCCAGCUCCACCGCCGCCGCCGCCUCCUCGUCUGCGUCGCCGGUGCCGCCGGAGGACGACGUCUGCUCCGUCUGCCACGACCGCUUCCGGAUCCCCUGCCAGGCCAACUGCUCCCACUGGUUCUGCGGUUCGUUGCCCACUCCUCCCUCCUCCCUCCCCCGAUCCAUCUCCACUGGCUAAGUUAGUGUACUCUGGCUCACCAAUACAGUAUAUGUGUGUACUGUUAAUGUUGCUGCGGUGCUUGGGUGACUUGGGUGUUCAGAAGUGAGGAAAAAGCAAAGUUGGUUUGUAGGCUUGAGACUUGAGACUAGUCUUCUUGUGUUUGUUUCAGUUUCAAUUCAACAAAGCUGCAACCAAGUCAUAGAAAGGAUCGGCGGUUUCAAGUUUCACAAGUACUCCGUAGCCAAGCACAAGCCUAAAGUUUGCUCUAGUACAUACAUUUGGUCAAUUAGGAAUAGACUGCACAACAAUUAGGAACACUGAAAGUGGCAUCUUGCAUGGCACAAGAGUGAAUCUGUCUGUACAGGUUUUUAAGCCUCUCUCUCUCUCUCUCUCUCUCUCUCUCUCUCNNNNNNNNNNNNNNNNNNNNNNNNNNNNNNNNNNNNNNNNNNNNNNNNNNNNNNNNNNNNNNNNNNNNNNNNNNNNNNNNNNNNNNNNNNNNNNNNNNNNNNNNNNNNNNNNNNNNNNNNNNNNNNNNNNNNNNUCUCUCUCUCCCUCCGAUAAUCAACCAGGCACUCACUGGCUCACUCUGUUUGUGCGCGCGCGUGUGCGCGGUUUCACAUCCCUGAACCCCUAAGACUUAGUUCUGAAAUAUUCAGAUGCUCCUGUACUGUUCUAACUUGUCAUCUUUGUUACUCAUGGCUUGCUUGACGGAGAUACAAAAGAUGGAAAGAGAACAUUGCUUCUUGUAGAUAGUCUGUUAAAUUUCCAUGAAUUAACCUUUUCAUGUUUAGGUCAUAUUCAGUGGUGUCAUUUUCCUGUUUGUCUGACAAUUACCGGUUAGUGUAUUGUACAAGGUGUAUGCUAUUUGACAUUGACACAAAAGGCAGAAAAUACAAAAAAUGCAUAAUUUCCAAGACAUGAUUCUACUAACCUCAUUCUCACGUUAUCAUUCUAGUUAUUUUUUAUUGUUAGUCAAUACAAAAGUAGUUUUGGCUGUAGCCAUUCUAAAACCAUAUUUGUUUGCCUCCGCACAUAGUUAAACUCGGUCUCAUGACACCAUUUGUUGUCUUCAGAUUUAUAUAAAAGCAUCACAGUUAUCAAUUUAAUUAGUAGCACCACCGCUAUGUGAUUAGGACAUCAUGCCGGCCAUCGAGGAUGAUCUGAUCAUGCAGUUCUUGUUUGCUGCCGCACAUACUUCGCGGCCUGCCCUAUGGACUGUAGUUUCAUUUUUUAUGGGUUCUUGAGAUAUGUUAUUUGAAGGGAGCAUCCUGAUUUCUUCAGUUGCAAUUGUUUUGUUCAUUUCCUUUUUGCCUUCUUGAUUGGCUCAAACAUGCUCAUUGUGAAAGGGCGAGGAGCUGCCGCCAUGUUUCUCCCCGAGCUCCGUGGUAGAAUGGUCUAUUUGUAUCAGAUUGUGUUUAGUGGAUGCGAAGAGCUCAGUUCUGGUAAGCUAGACCCUGAGGCGUGCAGCAGGUAUGUGGAAAUUAAGGAGCGUGCCCAUGUGAGCGGCUUCGAUUUUGUUGUGCCAAGAUCUCCGGUGGCAGGGAUUCACUUCUUUUUUUGGUGAUAGUAAGGAGGUUAUAUAGUUUGAUGUUUCUAAAUUUUAACAAUCAUGUUUUACAGUACCCUUGACAUGAAUGAGAUGACUGGGCUUAAAUGAGAAUGAUGAGAACCAUCUUGUUCUCCGUCGCAAUCAGCAUGUGUUUAAACUACUACUGCAGCAAAUGUUUGUCGUACCUUCAGUUUGUGCCGCAGAAUCUGUGUCUGAAUGUGACUGAGAGCCCGAGCAUACAUACUGAACAUUUUUUCCUUUGAUUAAGAAUUAAUUCAAACCGCAACCAAGUUGAUUGGACUUUCUAGGAAGAUUGACAGUUCAAGUUUCAAGUUGAUUGGACAAUUCUGUUCGAGCUCGAUUUUGUCACAGAUAAUGCACGAAUCGUGGUGCAAAGUGCGGGGACGGAAUUCUAUUCUAGGAAGUAUGACUUGUCACUUCUACAAAUCGAACCCAUCAUUUAGUUAUGGACCAGUAUAAUUUAAUUUGCAGUACUUGGCGUUGAGCAGCUAGCACUGCUGAAUCUUAGCAGCAAAAGAGGCCCAUUUGCAAAUGUAAAUUCUUAAGCAUAUGUUUUGGCAUACAAGUAUCUCUUUCUUCAAGACCGGUAAAUCAACUUGUGAUGUUGCUGCUGUACUACUUGGGAAUUUUGUGAUGCUGUUGCUGUACUACUUGGGAAUUUUGUCAACUUGUGAUGCUACUGAUGUACCCCGAGAGGCCCUUGAGUUUGCCGGAAUGUCGAUUAACUUCCGUUCCGGCAAAUUCGGGCACUCCAUAUGUCCUAUUUUCAGCAAAAGGUCAUGCUGAAAUUUUCCGUGAAUUUUAGCAUGACUUUGCUAAAAAUAGGACAUAUGGGGUACUUGCGACUAAUGCAUGUUUUAUGAUCUGUUGUAAGGGCACUAAUUGGUCUCUUCUGCUGCUUAUCAGAGAUGGGGGGAAGCAGCCACCGCCGCUCUACGACACCGAAGUACGAGUUCGAUGCUUCCGAGUUCUUCAGUAUCAUACUUGGGACUUCAGUAUCAUCCAUGACGCAGGUAUAUAAAACGAGAGAUCUCCCCUUCACCCAUCUCAUUAUGAUAUCUGUUGUUUGCUACAUCACUCAUUGUCCCAAACUGCAGAGGUUGCCUGACAGUUUUAUGAACAUGCUGGGUGAAGAUCCGCCAAAUAAUGUGAAGCUGCGACAGGCCGGCAGUGGGUUUCGCAGGCAGUGGGAUGUGGAGUUGGUGAUCAAGGAGGGCCACAUGUACUUGUCUCAUGGGUGGGAAGUUCUACCAUGCCUACGACCUGCGGCUGGGGUACUUCCUUCUCUUCAGGUACGACGACGACGCCACCAUGCUCAUCGUGAAGGUGUUCAACACGACUAUGUGUCGCAUGCGCUAUGCUGACGAUGAUGAUGCCGGUACGUUAUGCCUCUUCUUAUUCCUCUAUAUGUGGCUUUGUCUCACAUCGAUUGUUAACGGUCAUUGUUGCAUUUGGACAGGUAAUGGGAGCAGCAGCAGCGACACUGGCUACAGCCAAAGCAGCAACGACUAUGGCUGUAGCAAAAGCAACACCGAUUCUGGCUUUAGCGAAAGCAGCAGCGAUUCUGGCAGCAGCAUAGACAAUAAGAAGGAUGAUCCGGACUGGAGUGCGGGAGAAGAGAAGCAGAGUGGGGAUGAGGAGCUGCAGGAUGACGAUGGGCAUCAGGCUGAGGAUGACCUAGCGCUGGUGGUGGCUGACCAAGGGCAAGAUAUGGUGGUGGCUGACCAUGGGCAAGAGAUGGAGGUGGCUGAGGAUGACCUAGCAAUGGUCGUGCCCGUCCUGCCUGAAGGUGGCCUCGCAAUGGUGGUGGUGCCUGACAAUGACCACGCACCGGUGGUGGCGCCGGCGAUCCCACAGCUGGGCGACAUGACCACGCCAAUUGUGGUAGAAGACUACAUCCCACUGCCUCCACCGCCUCCACCGCCUCGCCGCUCUUGGCGCAUCAGACUGAGGAAGGAGAAGGAGAAGAACAAUGAGAACUGAACUAUGUCAGGNNNNNNNNNNNNNNNNNNNNNNNNNNNNNNNNNNNNNNNNNNNNNNNNNNNNNNNNNNNNNNNNNNNNNNNNNNNNNNNNNNNNNNNNNNNNNNNNNNNNNNNNNNNNNNNNNNNNNNNNNNNNNNNNNNNNNNNNNNNNNNNNNNNNNNNNNNNNNNNNNNNNNNNNNNNNNNNNNNNNNNNNNNNNNNNNNNNNNNNNNNNNNNNNNNNNNNNNNNNNNNNNNNNNNNNNNNNNCCAAAAUGACAUAGAUUAGCUUCAUUUUACCUAAGUUGGCUCUAAUAUACUAACUUAGAGCUUAUAUGCUUAGUUUCCUAUAGGUUAGCUCCAAAAUAACUUAUGUUAGCACAAAAUGAUCAAGUUUACAUAAUAAGCUUGUAGUCUUCUUCUUAUUCUUCUUCUUUUCUAAAAUGACAUAGGUUAGCUUCAUUUUACCUAAGUUGGCUCUCUAAUAUGCUAACUUAGAGCUUAUAUGCUUAGUUUCCUAUAGGUUAGCUCCAAAAUAACUUAUGUUAGCACAAAAUGAUCAAGUUUACAUAAUAAGCUUGUAGUCUUCUUCUUAUUCUUCUUCUUUUCCAAAAUUCUUCUUAUUCUUCUUCUAGUGUUCUUCUUCUAGUAUUCUUCUAGUCUUCUUCUUCUUCUUCUACUAACUUCUUGUUUAUCAUUUUGCAGAUUUGAUUUAAUUCACGGAAGCUUGCAUGGAUGGAGUGCUUCUUUUCCAUUUGUGUUUUUAUUUUGUAUCAAUGUGAAACUUUUGUGAAUUGAUGGAUAACGGUGUUGGAUGAACAAUGUGAAACUUUUGUAAUAUGUAACGAUGGAACUAAGUGUUGGCUAUGUAUGUAUAUACGAUGAAACUUGUGUGUUGGCUACGAUUGUUAUAUGGAUGCUUGUUGUAUAUAUAUGUGUUGGAUAUCUCAUAUGUGAAAUAGUGACCUAAGAUUAAGAAAAAACAAAAAAGAUAAAAAAAAUUGUUACUAAUGGCGCACUAUCAUGUGGUGCGCCAUUAGUAUAGCAGACACUAGUGGCGCACUGUGGGCAAAACUAAUGGCGCACUGCGUGGUGCGUCAUUAGUAUACCAAAUACUAAUGGCGCACCAGUGGUGCGCCAUUAGUAAAAAAUACUAGUGGCGUGAUACUAAUGGCGCACCGGUAAUGCGCCAUUAGUAGGCAAAACCGGUGCGCCAUUAGUAGGCCUUUUCCUAGUAGUGUCUACCACUGAAACUGGUUUCUCAUCUUCUCACAGAGGUGGUGAAGAAGGUUUUAUGUAAACUUAUUUGGAGUGUUCAUGUGUCUGAUGUCCAUUGGAUAGUCAAAGAGAGUGCAUACACCACAUUCUUAGUAGAAACGGGUAUGCAUGCACGUACAGUUAAGGGUGAGACACGUCAGGUUAUGCUAAGACACAUGAGCUGAACAGUCGAUAAGUGUUUAGAGAUAGUUGCUAUGAGAAACUAUGGCAGAAUUUGACACUUUAAUUAUCUCCUCUUGCAGGAAAUGAGAAAUAUUGAUCUUUACUUAGAAUGAGCCAAUAGCCAAGCAAGGCUAAAGAUUUGAAGCAUAUGUAUUCUGAGUGGUGGAAUGUUAUCCAGAGUUGUAAGUGCCAGUUUUAGAAGGUAUGUACAUUACGAAAUAGAGUAAAGAAACAAAAGAAAAGUACACAGUGUGUCACCUACAAUUACAAUGGAUACAUAAAAUCUACGUCACACUGAUUUAUCACCUGAAUUUACGGAACAUAGCUAAAAGAAGAAGAGUAAAAUCUAGCCAUUUAGAAUGAUACUACAUAGUGUAUAAUGAUGCAACACAUUAAUAAUUUAAACCAUAUAGAAAGCUAGAAUUACUUAAGUAUUACUGUAGCUUGAUGCUUGAUUAUUCACCUAUCACAGUAGUAGUAGUGUUUUGGCACACAUGCAGUCACAAUUGGAAGUCACUUGUCUCAUCACCGUAUAAGGAAUAUUAAUAACACAUCCAAGGAUAGACAUAAAUUUACAAAUUUGAACGCAUAGACCUCUUGUAUUAUAUUUCACAUGUAUUUCACUGAGACAAAGAUGCAAACCUGUAUGGUGAAGUGCUAAAAGCAUGACUGACCAAAGGACUGUUGGGUUACUAAUUGGAACAUGUACACAAUUAGGCUUCUAAACAUAGAACGUACCACAAAAUUCUGAUACUGAGAUGGUAUAUUUUUGUUCCUACAAAAAAAUAAAGUGAUGUCGUCGGCGUGAUGUCUUCAAAAAAUUAAGAUGGAAACACACAAAUCAUCAUUUAAUCUGUCUGGAAUUUAAUGUAAAUAUAUAAUUCAAAAAGCAAUCGUUUGUCUUCUCUUUACAUCAACAUGGUCAGCUAGCAGAUCCAAGUUUGCUCUGAAUGAAUCCAAAUAAUGGACAAAACGAAUCAGAUCACAUAAAAACAAAACAUAAGUUUGGUACUACUAGGUGAGGUUGAAUGUUGAAGUAAUUGAGAAUUCGAGGUUCCAAGAUGAGGCAUCACGUGGGCCCAACGGCGCGCCAAGCCACCAGCUCGGGGAUCAGGCGUAUGCAAGGACACAGACAAAGGAUACUUUUUUUUUGUUUGCGAAAACUGACAAAGAAUACUUACCUGGUACCUUGUCCUCGGGGAUCUUGUUCCAGUUAGAUGCAUAUAUUCUACAUAUACUAAAUCUAGAACCGUUUAAAUUCUCUGGUUUGUUUGAGUUUUUUUGGCAGUUUGAACUGGUGACCUGGAUGGGUAAGCUUCUGGGGUGCACGCUGCGUUUCUCUGCGAUUUAAUUCUUGGUCAAACGUGUGUCCUGUCUCUCUAAACAGGAGCUGUAUUUUAUGCUGCAUGCGGUCGGUGGACGUAAUUUGUUGACCGUGUGCAUGUAGUACUGAUGGAUCGUUGGGGCAGUGCAUGGCAUGUGGGGUUGCAUGCAUGGUUCUAUUUGCCUCCGGAUAUCUAAAUGUGGGGUUGCAUGCAUGGUUCUAUGCACGUUUCCAAACAGUACGCACAUCAAACAUGCCUGCAUGCAGCAUGCAACCACCGACCAACCACGCCGUGCCGCUGCUGCCGUAUAUUCUGGAGGCUGCUGAUGGUUUCAGUAGAUUAGUACUCCGUUCCAAAAUACGUGAUCCAUCGCAUUGUUUUGGAACGGAGGGAAUACAAUUUUGCUUCAUGUUUCUGGCCCUUCCGAGCCCUAUAAAUACGUGAUCCAUCGCAUUGUUUCUCUCCAUCUUGCGCGUUGUGAUCUCUGUUCGCAAAUGGAUCAUGGUAGGUCUUUCCAAAGUGGCCUCCGUCGUCCUUGUCGUUCACCUGGAGUUCGCGGGGCUGUGAUUGGGCGUCGUGAUUUGCGGCUCCAGCCUCCAGGUCGUCCUCCUGGGAUCCGUGGGGUAGUUAUUGGGCGCAAUGAUCUGCGAGGCCGGGGUGCGUCCAUGUCGGAAGCUGUUAGUGGUGGUCAUCGGAGCCAUCCUUCUGUUCAUCGUUCCGUUGGCUUCGCAUCUAUUGUUUGGUUAUUAAGGUUGAGUUUUUCCAGCAUUUCAUUUACUUAUUUUUUAAUUACCUACUUCAUUUUCGUCUUAAUGCAGCUCAUUCUUCUCGUGGCUUUGGUUUUCCGGGCGAUACGAACCCUGCCGUUUCCCAACCCAGUUCUUCCAUUGUGCUCUCUGGUAUUGCUUCCCUAUAAAUUUGAUUUUUAUGAAUAACUGUUACAAACAAAAUAUGUCAAAUGCUUGCCAUGUUUCACUGUUGGCAUACGUGCACUUGGCAGGAUAAUACAACUUAAAUAAAUGUUGUUUCAUGUGAAAAGGCAACACGUGUUUGUGGUGCAUGCCGGGGUUGCCCACACGGCUACGUGCAUGUGCCAUGCAUUAGUACGCUUUGCCGAUGUGACUACGUGCAUGCUCCAUGCAGUUCUUUUUUUCCUCUAUUUUGUAUACCACGUAUGAUUCUUUUCUUCUUUUUUAGGAGAAUCUUCGGUUCCAUUUGGUGGUCCAGCUGAUCGGACUGCUGCUUUUCAGAGUUAAUUGCACAAAACCAUUACAUUUGGGACAUCGUUUGCAGAAAACCACGAGGUCACUAACUUUUUGCAAAAAACAUCGCACAUUCAGUAAACCUUUUGCAAAAAGCACUAAACAAGUGAUUUAGGUCAUUUAAUCACUUUCUAACAAGUGGGGCCGAAUUGUCGAGAGCUGACUUGGCAAAACAUUUACAUAUACACCCUUAGAUAUUAGAAAUAAAAGCAAUCAACCCCUUCCCCUCUCCCCCCGCAGACAGGGUUGACUGGCGCUGCGGUCAUGGCCGUCCUCAUCUUCUCCGCUCCGUCAGCCGCCGCACCCGCCUCAUCAGUAUCCCCGAACCCCGACUGGCGCGCUGUCGUGAGGACGUCCGGGUGCCCGCGCUGUCGUCGUCCGGCGCCCUGACCCUGCCGGCCGUCGGGAUGCCGUGGCGGGGAGCGUCAUCCCCGGCAAGGUGGACACGGAGACGAGGAGGAGGUGGAGUAAGGAGGUUCGUAUUGUUUAUAUCCCUUCACGGCAAGAUACAGCAGGGGACGGUGGCACUCACUUUUCCUGACUCGUGCACGUACGGCAGGGGACGGUGUGGCCGGGCAUCUUGUCAAACGGCUACGCUAGUACAGCUACAGCAAGAGUUCAGCAGGGCUGCAGACGGGGACGUUUCUGUUUCCGUCCGGCUGGCCAUGCAGGCGGCGGGCGUGCGCGCAGCAGGACGCCGCCGAGAAGUUCACGCGCGCCACGGACGCUGCCGCACCGGCAUGCCAUGGAUUGCGCUAGCUGGUCGGGGGCCACGCUGCGUUGGCAGAGUUCAUGCUCGACGCCGACCACGACGACUUCUAUGACGUGAGCCUCGUGGAGUCGUGGAUGGAUAUACAGAUGGCAGAUGGCACACACGUGCAUCGCAACACACACAUCUAGUCCAGCCAUGGAAGAGCUGCGGCGGCCGGAUGACACAUGGGCGAGGGAUCCCGUCAUACAAGCUAGUGUGGAGAACAUGCGUGGAGAAAAUUAGGGUAAAUGUGGAGAACAUGUGCGUGGAAAAUUAUGGCAGCUAUGGGGAAAAGAGAAACUAUCGGGGGUAGAGGUGGGUAAAUUCUUUCAAGUUCAAUGCUAAUAAGAUGGUUUAAAGAUCUGAGAUGACUAUGCCAUCUAUUAUACUAAGCUAAAUUUGAUGGUAGGAUGUUUCUGAUUAACUUAAGAAUUUCUAGCUAUUUCUCUAUUUUCAACCCGUAUUUUUCCUUUUGUGCUAUGUAUGCAUAAGUUGUCCUUUUGUCCUGACCUGGGUUUGCUUUCAGAGUCUCUCAAAACAGGCUUUUCACCCCGCUUUCGGAGUUUUUAAACAUCUGAUAAAAUUGCACGCAAGAGGCUUGUGAGCGGUGGAAGCAUUAGUGAAAGAUAUGUUUCUAGCUAAAUUGUAAGCAUACCACCAUGGCAAAUGUGAUUGCAUCUGAUAUACCACUAGCAUUCCGGUUGGUUCAGCAGUUGCAUUAUCCANNNNNNNNNNNNNNNNNNNNNNNNNNNNNNNNNNNNNNNNNNNNNNNNNNNNNNNNNNNNNNNNNNNNNNNNNNNNNNNNNNNNNNNNNNNNNNNNNNNNNNNNNNNNNNNNNNNNNNNNNNNNNNNNNNNNNNNNNNNNNNNNNNNNNNNNNNNNNNNNNNNNNNNNNNNNNNNNNNNNNNNNNNNNNNNNNNNNNNNNNNNNNNNNNNNNNNNNNNNNNNNNNNNNNNNNNNNNNNNNNNNNNNNNNNNNNNNNNNNNNNNNNNNNNNNNNNNNNNNNNNNNNNNNNNNNNNNNNNNNNNNNNNNNNNNNNNNNNNNAGAUUUUAAUUUUCUCUAUGAAUUCAGCCAUCAAAAGAAGGAAAUAAGAGCAAUACUGUGGCUAUGUCCAUCAUUUUUGUACAGGUAAAAAAGCUAUCAUCUUUGCGGAUAAACUCUUCUUCUUUAAUUACUCAUUUAAACAUCUCCUAAUGUUCCUGGUCAUGUAAGCAAAUAUUAAAUCUCGUCUACUUCGAGGGACAAAGAACAGUAGGGAGGCGUGGCUCUACUGGUAGGACAUAAGCAAUGGGAGGUCCGUCGGCAAGAAGACCCAGAAAAAGAAACACUAACUGGAGAAAUAUUAAGGAUGAAAACAAAAAUAAACUACUGCAACAAAAGAAGCUUAUACUCAAUCGAGUUGCGGAUUUGUUUAUAUGAAGAAGGAUCGCCAAAGGAAAUAGCAGAUCAAGAAAGAAAACCAAAAGACACAUUAGGAUGUAAAUAUGGCGUAGAAAGAAUAAAGCAAAACCAAGACAGAGGACUCUCAAGGUAGAACAUCAAAUGGUGCGAGAAAGGAACAUCAAAGAAACACUAAAGAGAGAAAAUAGUGAAGAGGAGGAGAGGCCAUGCAAUAUAUGCGCUCCGUAUAAUCCAUGGCCAUGGCCUCCAAAAAACAGAUCAAGAAGUGGAAAAACCCAGUACGCCGACCAACCUCGCCCAGCAAUGUAUUUUUCAGAUUUAGAACGUACUUAGGAACUUUUUUGAGAAACUGAACAUACUUAGGAACUACCCCAAUGGGCCACCAUCGUUGAAUUAUCUUGAUUCUUUCUAUAACAUAGUAUGGUAAAAGGAAAGGCACAGACAAAUAUCACACUCACAACACCAAAAUGAUAUCAACCAUGACCCAACAAUUGAAUUAAGGUAAAACCUUGUAAAACUCUGACUAAAAACUACACCCAUUGGGCUUAUAAUCAAGUAAGAUAACAUAUAUCUUUUCUUAGAUAAUACCUCGAACAGAACAUUAUAUGUACAGCUCACACUACAGUAAAAAAGGACCAUACUUACACUAACUACAUAUGAUCAGAUUAGAAAGUCCACCAUGCCGCAAAAACAUUUAGCACCCAUUUAAAUAUGGAUUUGGGUUCAUAGCUACACAAAGCAUAGUAAUUAUUGUGAAGAUAGAAAAAGAAUGCUCCUACUAUAAAAAAUAUAUAUACGCUGAUAAACAGCACCAUCCAAUUAGAGCUCGAAAACAGGAAUAGAGAAGGCACCUAUAGCUGUUCAUGGAGGUGUCUCUCAACCUCUAUUUGCAUACGUAGAGCUUCUGCCAAGUUCUAAAGGAGAAGGGAACAAAUGUAAAUUUGUAAGGUCAUGGUAUCUAUUAUGCAUGCAUUCUAGUGUAAUAAUUCAGAGAUAUUACUUGUUUUUGAACGGGUCACUUCCAAUGCUACCUGGUUGUACUUUCUUCAUGUCUGAGGAGGCCUUCUUGCCUGCAUACAAUAUGCAUCAAAAUUCAUCCAAAUGGCAAGCUCGAGGAUACUGUCUUCACGGGUAAUGCCUCGUCCUCAUGGCAAGCAAUUAAUCACGGCCUGGAUCUGCUAAAGAAAGGGUUAAUAUGGCGUGUUGGUAAUGGAAGAAGCAUAAGAGUGUGGCGUGACAAUUGGAUCCCUCGACCUUUUUGGUUUAAGCCCAUCUCACGGCAAGGCGUGUGUCGUAUAUGUUUCGUUUCGCACUUGUUGAACGAUAAUGGUUCAUGGAAGGUUGAGUUGCUUACUCAAUACUUCGUUGCUGCGGAUGUUGAAGAGAUCCUAAAUAUCAGGGCUUCUCCCAUAUUGGAUGAGGAUGUUCUUGCAUGGGGACCUGGAAAACUGGGAUUUUUUACAGAUAGAAGCGCCUAUCAUUUGGCGUUCGAUGAGCUACACCCCGGGAGCUCGGUCUCCUUCAGCGCAUUGCCAUUUGUGAGAGAGCCAUCAGAACAUGCCUACACUUCCACUAAUCAUUUUCUAAGAGAGAACCACCUACUCAUGUGUUGAGACCAAGACAUUCCAAUGCAACCACAAGAAUCUUGAUCUCUAGCCUUCCCCAAGUUGCUUUCCACUCAAAUCAUCUUUCCACCAUAGCCAAAUCUGUGACAAGAGUUGAGUGUUGGGGAGACUAUCAUUUGAAGCACAAGAGCAAGUAGUUCAUCAUCAACACACCAUCUAUUACCUUUUGGAAAGUGGUGUCUCCUAAAUUGGUUAUGUGUCACUUGGGAGCCUAUGUUAAGAUUGUGGAGUUGAACCAAGGAGUUUGUAAGGGCAAAGAGAUCGCCUACUUCGUAAUGAUCUACCCAAGUGAGGCAAGUCCUUCGUGGGCGAUGGCCAUGGUGGGAUAGACAAGGUUGCUUCUUCGUGGACCCUUCAUGGGUGGAGCCCUCCGUGGACUCGCGCAACCGUUACCUUCGUGGGUUGAAGUCUCCAUCAACGUGGAUGUACGAUAGCACCACCUAUCGGAACCACGCCAAAAAUCUCCGCGUCUUCAUUGCGUUUGCACACUCCAAUCCCAUCCCUUUACUUUCUUGCAACUAGCAUGCUUUACUAUUUUCGCUGCUUAUACUCUUGCCAUGUUUACUUGAAAUGUGUUGGGAAUGCUUAAAAUUGUGCUAAUCUACAACCUCAACUUGAAGAACUUAAAAAUUGCCGCCUUUACUUGUUGAGUGUCUAAUCACCACCCCCCCCCUAGACACCUCUUCUCGAUCCUUUCAGCUCCCCCUCCACCUACACUCGUGUUUUCUUCAGUACCUUUUGAUAAUUACAUCAGAGUUAUAAGAUUGAUCAAUCAUGCAACCAUUUGCAUGAUAAAUAAUGAUAUGUACCUUGAAGUCCAUGUAAGAAGUGCUCUUCUCUAGCCACUGCUUGUCCAUCGCAAGGAAAGUAACAUAGUAGAGCAGAUAUAAGAUAUUGCUAUUAUGUUGUUCCUCUGCAAGUUUGUUUUGAUUACUUGUAUGCAUGAUUUACCCCUAUGGUCAGAAAAAUAAGCAUUGACAUGAUUUCCGUGUAUGGUUGAAAAGGUCUUAAAAAUACUGCAGAGACAUUUGCCUCAACUGAUGUGCAUACUUUUUGGCUAGGGACUAUUUUGAAUAUUUACAUGUAAAGUAUUCAUCCUCUUUUCUUCAUACACUAUCUUUCAUGUUGUUUCUUCCUAACAUCAGUACUUCAUCAGAAGAUGAUGUGCACCGUGUAGUGUGGAAACACCAAGAAGGUCACCAUCAAGCCGAGGCUUGUAAUUGGUCCAAUUUGGCAGGUUUGCCCACCUCAUCGAAUUUCUCAAAGUACCCCAAUGACAUGACUUCAAGAUCAAAACAUUGGCCCCAACCAAACCACCCAUCGUACUAUUUAAGAAUGAUUCAUUGUUAACCGCCAGUCCUCCCAAAUGCACAAAAUCAUCAUUGCCCAAAAUUCUCAUGCAAUUGCCUUCAUUCUUCCACUGUCACAUUUUAUGCCAUCGAACCAAUCAAAAGACGAGGGAGAAUGUUUUUCUUACCAACUAGGCAAAUCUCCAAAUGUCUCUCAAUUUGUAGGAGCCUCAAUUUCUCCCAUCAUCAGAGCGGAGGGAGUAAAGGUAAGGAUGUCAGACAACACCAACGUAGCCGCCUUCUUCCUUCGGGUCUUCGGUGUGAAACACAACGAUGGUUGCGGGGGAAGGCUAGAGCCCAGAAUCAACGGUGCUGGUGGCCACACUAGUAUGCUGGAUUUGGGAAGGUGGCGAUUACAAGAAUGGUGGGGAAGUGAAGAGUACGUGAUGACAUUCAGGGAUGAAUUUAGACCCAUCAAGCGGGGAUAAUCAUUCCGGUCAUUGGAGAGGUGGCGAUACCAAUCCGAGCUGAGGGAAGCCAGCAAAUUGAGUCAUUGAAAUGACUGCAUGAGCGCCAUCCAAGAAAAAAUGACCAUGAAGUGUGCGACAACGAUUUUGAUGGUCCAAAUUGCCAUCCAUGCGGUUAUUAUGAUGAUCGACCACAUAUAGAGACUCUCCUAGAUUGCUUUAGGCCUUACAUUGCGGCACACAAAGACUCUACAUGCAAAGCAUGAAAAUUUUGUACAAAACCAUAUAUAGGAAGUACAGAUCUGCAUGUCCCCAACUUCCAGGUCUUGUCAUGACCAGUCAGUGAUUAUAUUCUUUGUCUGAGGAACAUGGUAGUAGAGGUGUAACGAAAGGAGGUGUCCACAUAUGAUGACGCGCUGACUUCUAAAGCGUCACUGUCUAGAGAAGGAAGAAGGGUUGCGGUGGGAGACAACACCAGGAGCGAGGACGACAUCGCACCUGCCUCAUACCCGGCUGGUCCGGUGGCAGCAACCCUAACUCUUGUUUCCCUCGACGGGAACUGGUGUGAUCAAGCGAGUGGAACUGGUGGGUCUAGAGCUGAAUCGCUCGCACGAGUUUUCUUGUAGGAGGUGUCGGUGGGAUUCUUGUCGUAAAUAGCUGGUAUAAUAGGGGUAUACUUUAAUUUGAAACAUUUUCUGUUGUGGGACUCUCUAAAAUCCUCAUAUUCUGGUCAAGUUUUUUUUUGGAGACUUUGGAUUGCACUAGGAUUCUAUAAAUCCUCUUAAGAUUUUGGAGAGGCAAUCGACUUAUCGCUCGGGAUUUUUCAGACCGAGAUUCUCCAUAAUCUGCUCAAAUGAACUGUGCCUGAAUAUGUUUGUGAGUGCUAGAUGCAAAGGUUCUGCACUGAGUGUAUGUGCAUGCUCCUGAAUCGAUGUAGCUUAUAUAUCCAGAUUUUUCAAAACUGCAAAUAGGCGUGCCAUAACAUCGUUUUUCUUUCUUUGUUUCUCGAUUUUCAUCAGUUAAUUUUUUGUUCAAUACAUGUCUACUUUUUUUCGUACACGAUGUUCAUUUUUUGUGUAUGCGUGAGAUAUUUUUGUUAAUACACAUUGAACAUGUUUCAAAUACCCGAUGUAUCAUUUUUUUCUAAAAUACAAGCUUUGAACAGUUUGUUGAAUACAUGGUCAACAUUUUUCAAAUACAUGGUGAACAUUUUUUAUUGGCAAUAAACAUUUUUGCAAAUAUAAUGUAUACUUUUCCAUAUACAUAAAAAAAUUAUAUACAUGUUUAACAUUUUUUAAAUUUAGAAUUAACUUUUUAAAAAUACUUUAUGUCUGUUUCUAUUUAAUGUACACUGUACAUUUUUCGUAUAGGUAAGGAACUAUUUUUAAUACAUGUUUAACAUUUAUUAAAUACAUGAUCAACAUUUUCUCCUACACAUCGUAUUUGUUUUGUAUACAUGAGAAGCAUUUUUUCUAUACACAUUUAACAUGUUUCAAAUGCUUGAUUAAAAUUUUUGAAAUACUAAUUAAAAAAUAUUUUAAAAAUGCUUGAUUUACAUUUAAAAAAUUUAGAGAAAUAAUAUUUUUUAAAUACAUGAUAAAAUUUUUGCCAGUAAUGACCCCAAUUUUCAGUAGUUGCUGCGUACAACUAAGCUUGCUUGGUGUAGUUGAGCUGCUUUAUUUAAAAAAAAAACAAGACCAGCCAGGACUAGCCCUUGGCGGCAUAUUUUGGUAGGAGAAUUCUCUAAGCGCCCCCUCGGCCGAGCCAGGGCUCGAACCAUGGCGGGCAGCCUGCGGGAGGAGCUGCUUUAUUUUUAGAUUAUAAAAUUGCUCAUCUUCUCGUGCAGUCUUAAAUUAGCAUGCAAUAGUGAUGUCAUGAUGUAAUUGCUGAAACAUACAACAACGUUGAAAGAUGACAGUGGCGACAAUCAUGCAUCCGUCUACAUGUAUGUCACGAAGCUCAAGCCGUACGGGAUCAUGGUCUUCCAACAACACCUCUUUUUACAGUGCCUGAUCCAAUCUUGUUUGGCAUCUGUUGUUCACGUGUAGGAACAUGAUACCAAGGGCACAACAGAACUGAAAAAAGGGUCAACACUGAACUGUAUUAAAAUGAUUUUGAUAUGCUCACCUCUUGCACAUAUUUGUUACCAUCCAUGCACGGUAGAUCAUGACACAUUGCAUCAGAGGUCCAUUCGUGAAUUGUAGGCGCGAUCUGUAAAUAUCAUACAAACAUGAGACAUCGAAGGGAGUAAGCCCUUUCAAACCAGUCAUUUCACUUUCAUGCUUGCGAGUGAGAGAGGGAGUAGUUGAACAGACCUCAAUGAGUGAACCAAGGCGUGUUUUAACAAUCAAAUACUUUUUUAUUUGAGCCACCCAUUCUUUCUGUAUGGGAGAACUGAAAAAUAUAUAGGCUCUUCAGUAGGCACAACAUUGUAUCAAUAACUAGAGUAACAGAACAAAUGUGUGCAAGUAAAUACAUGCACAUAUCACAUACUUCUUGUACAAUGAACGUUUCACUGACAUGUCGGACAUAAAUAUUUGAAUACUGCAUUAUGACACGCUGAAGCUGAAGUUGAAUGGAUGCAAUCUUGAAAGGUUAAUAUUGGCUCUCUCUCUUUCUUUACUUAUGUAGCGAAGAGGCUGAAGCUGAAGCUGAAUGGAUUGAAUGUUUUGAAUCAGGUGUGUACUUGACGCUCAAGCAGCUCAGCGAUGGGACUCGCAAAAUCCAGCGGGUCCGUUUCAGGUAAUGGGUCCUACUCCCAUAUUAAGUUGUUUAUUUUUAUCUAAAAAUGAGAUAUUGCAUAUAGAUUUUUGUUUCUAGACUUCACCAUUGUACAAUGGCAGAGCUAUGUGUGUCAAGAUGAGGGGGCCAAUGCCCCCCCCCCUCCCCUUCUUAAACUUACUUUUGAAAAACUAAAAUGCAAGGACUUGAAUAGGAAAUAUUAUAGCCUUUGCCCCCCCCCUUCCCACCCUCCAGCUACGGUACUGCAUGCACGUGAUCGAGUUCUAUCCAUCAAAAAAGUUAUUUUGGCUGGUUUGAUCUUUGUACAUGGGUAGUUAAAAAAUGAUUCUACUAUCAUAACUCUGGAGCAAUGAAUCUUGAGAGUUUGCUUUCUAUCGUCUUCAUAAUAUAUAAUAAAUUAUUUUUUAAACGGUUAACACUAUCAGAAAACGAAAGGUUCAUGUUACACUCACCUUGCGAUAUCUCUUUGCAGCUCAGAGCGCUUCACAGACGGUCAGGCUGGAGACUGGUGGAAGGAGAACCACGACAAGGUCCACAACCACUACAAUGUGAGGAGGAGCUCGCAGUCGGUGACACCAAGCAACGGGUGUAAGUGUGGCGUGUGCCUCUCGAUGUCCGCUCUGGUUUCCUAGGCCUCUCUUCAAUCCCUAGUUGUCCAGAGUCACUUAGUAGUUAUCUAGCGUUGGUUGUAAGUAAGACUGUAAGAGAGAGCUACUACUUGUUAAUCUAAGCUACGCAUGUAUGUGUGUUGUUUUCCCUUGCAAAAGUAUGCAACCGGGUAGCUGAUGAUUUGUAUGGAGCUGUGUUAUGUAGAAACAUGUAUCGUGUGGAUGUUCUUUUUCCUGCGUGAUUUGUUUUCAGUAUCAACGGAACAGGGUAGCUGAUGAUUUGUAUGGAGCUGUGUUAUGUAGAAACAUGUAUCGUGUGGAUGUUCUUUUUCCUGCGUGAUUUGUUUUCAGUAUCAAUGGAACAGAAAAAUACAAAAUCAACAGCAAAGAAGUAAACGGAAAUGAAAAAGGUUCAGUUGGCACAAAAAUUGCUAACAGCAAACAACAAAAUGAACUAUGAAUAAUCUUCAGAUUCAGGAGGCCUCUACCAUCUUCAGCUCUUCUGAAAUUUCUCCAUCAAACCUCAGUUUUCCUCCAUCGUUGCUCCAUGUUCUUCAUUGUCAUCAUUGUUUCCCUACCUUCCGCCUCGAUCUGGAGCUCAUUCCAGAUGACAAUGAAUCAAUGAAUGACACUGGUGAAGCAAACACAAACCUGCUAUGAAUCAAUCAACACAUCAUUCCAGCAUAAUACAAAUGCAGUGUCAUGGAGCCCAUCUGCUGGCUGGUAGGUGCUUUAUCCCUUGCAAAUACAAACAUACGUGAAUGGGUGAGUCGGGGAGUCUGAAUAUGCGUUACAAUAUGAUAUGAAUGACAUGGUUUUGAUUUCGAAUGCCCACUGAGAUGUAAGAGAAGAUACGGUGGGAACAGAGCAACAAAAACCUGCGACUACAUUGCCUUCUACUAUCCACAAAGCUGCGAGAAGUGUACCUGUACCUGCAUGAAUGCUCUAACAAUCUGGAGCUUCUCUGCCAUGCGGUUGUGUGAUUAUUUAUCGUAACUAACAGAUGCAAGAAUCCAUGACGGUCUUUCUUGCUUAUCCGCACACAUCUUUACUAUUAAACGGGAGUCUUUGGUCGUGGUACGUCGUUUCGUUUGUACAUCUCGCUUCGUCUUGGCUGUGCAACUCAACCCGCAAAACUGUGCGCCAAUCUACCUCCCCUGCCUCCAAACCCCACUGAGCAGAAACUCCUCUCUUCCACUUUCCCGUAACAACCUCUCUUACCCUCCCGUCAUCCCGUGGCUCCUCUCUUUUUCUCCCAUGGCCCCUUUCGACACUCCUGCACGAAAUCUAAUUAUGACUUGUCUCUUUCAGGUCAUUUUGGAGUUGUAGAUAAAGUUAGGAUAGCGAGUAAAAUGCAUAGAACCACCACUUUUGUGUCAUAGCUCUCAGAAAACCACCACUUUACAAAACUUUGCACCACACUGAAGAAUUGAUAGUGGCAAAAACCCCUGAACCAUUUUAUGAGCAUGUUUUGAUGUGGCCGAUUGCGAGCAAGCCGACAGCGGUGGACGACGCCCCGCUAACAGUCGUUAACGGCUCUGUCCGAAGCGAUUGGGCCGGCCCUUACUCCCUCCCUCACUCACAUCACUCGCCCUCUAUCCCUCUCCUCUCUCUCUCUCUCUCUCUCUCUCUCUCUCUUCCGGGCAUGGCGGCGGUUGUGGCUCCGGAUCCAUCGGAGAGGGAGUGGUGGCGGCAAGGUGUGGUGAAAAGACCCAAUCACCUAGUCUGGCCGGCGUGGCAGGGGGCAUCCGCGGCGAGGAGGAAGAUUGUGCGGCCACAGCAUAUUCAUCCAUCAUAGAGUAUUUCAUCGUUGCCACAUUUGGAGCAAAAUUCGUUGAGCUACUGUCAAAUGGUGUUGGUCCAGCCCUAGGUGAGCUGCCUCCCUCUCUCUAGUAGCAAAUUUUGUUGGUGGAAUUCUAGACUUCUAGAUUUAGAAACAAGAGUUUGUUGGAAUUCUAGCAAAUUUUGUUGUUAACUGAAUCUUGUUGUGAACUUAUGUUGUUAACUGAAUCUUGUUGUUUGUAACUGAACAAAGUUGUUAACUUAACCUAGUCUGUUGAAUCUUUGUUGCCACUUCACCUAGUUGUUAACUGAAUCUUUGCUCCCAAUCACUAUACCUAGGUGUCAACUGAAACUAGUUAACUGAAUCUUGCAUUUUGUGACUCGACCUAGUUGUUAACUAAAUGAUUGUUGUCUGUCACUGAACCUAGUUGUUAAAUGAAUGCAUGCAGUUAACUGAAUCAGUUCACAACAACAUUUAGUUAGUUGAAUGAAUGCAGUUAACAACUAGGUUCACCACAAGAUUUAGUUAGCUGAAUGAAUGCAAUUAACUAAAUUAGUUCACAACAAGAUUCAGUUAAUCUUUAUGAUAUGGGCAUGGCUAUUGUUGAUGUUACUGAAGUUGAGUCUGUUAAAAGAUCUAGCCAUGAAGAAAUUGCGGAAAAUAAUAUUUUGCGGGCCGUCAGAUUUCAUCGAGGAAACGAUGGUCCUAUGCGCCGUGAAAGAUCGGGCCGUCUACGCGCGCGAAUUAGCAUCUUGCUAGUCCGUGCUACAUCACUUUACUGUUGUCACUGAAUUUUCAUGUCCUAUUUGACUGAAUUUUAGGGUUUGCAAAUGGUUAAUUAUUGGGUUAGUUACUUCACUGAUUGAUAGAUGUAGUUGAAUCAUUCGUGUGGACUGAAUGAAACUGACACUAAAUGCCACUACCAAAAUUUGCAGGGUGUUGUGUAGUGGGUACAUGCGUUAAUUUUGGGUUGAGUGAUGUAGUGGACAAGUUAACCACAGAAGGAGUGAGUCAGUGUGCAUGGGUUUAAGUGAUUUGACUGAUGUGAAGUGUGAAUAGGUGUGCUCAAUUCAAUGUUCAAACUGUGUUGAUUAAAGGAAGCAAGUGUCCCUAACUAGGAGAGAACUUGCAAUAUCCAUACUUGCAAUGUCCAGACUUUAUUCAAUCAAACUAUACUAACAUUUUAUCUUUGAAUUAACACCUAGAGCCCACCUAUAGUUCCAUAGUAAGCUGGCUGAAAAAAGUUUGAGACUUAGAUUUUAUGACAUUUUAUCUUUGCAUUGACACCUACAUCACAACUAUAGUUCUUUGCAUUGACACAUGCAGCUCAACUAUAGUUCUUUGCAUUGACACCUGCGGCUCAACUAUAGUUCUUUGCAUUGAAACCUACAACACCAUAGUUUGACAUUUAUAAUGGAUAAUAUGAGCACCAAUAUUCAAAUAAUAUGAGAAAUGUCUUUCACAUAAUGUGAGCGCAAAGAUUCAGAUACUAUGAGCACAAACAUCUCCAAAAACCAUCACCACAAACAUUCAUAUAGAUAGAUAGAUAGAUAGAUAGAUAGAUAUCAUAGAUAGAUGAGUUCAGAAAGCACACAUAGUUCUAGUUCUUCAGACACAAGCCACACUACUAAGCUCAGAAACUAACUGAAUCCAUAUAUUGGUUCAGAUCUUGCUGCAGAAAUUAACUAAGACCUAACUGGUACUCGCAUCAGACUCACUCUUGUCGCAGUUUAAAAAGACGGAGUGAUCGACGAACUAGCCCCAUGAUGUUGAACUGCUUCUUCUUCCUCCUCCUCCUCCUCCUCCUCCUCCUCCUCCUCCUCCUUGUGCCUAUCUCCACCUCCAUCUGUUGAUGCUCCAUCCGGGGCGCCUCCACCUGCACCUGUUGCUCCCUUUGCGGCGGCCCCAUCUCCAUCAGACUGAUGGGCAGCACUGGCACCACACCUUGCCGAGCUCGUAGUCCACACGGAGUAGGUCACGGUUCUGGUACAUGUACCAAUGUACCCUUUGGUAUGGAUCCGGGAAAUCCCUGGCCUCCCCGUUCGCCCAGACCAGGUUCUUGAUCAGUGGGUCGUGGAUGUCUAGCAAUCCGGCGUACUCCUCAUGGUUGGCGGCCGCCCUCACUGCACGCUUGCUUCUUGAGGAUUGCAACCCUGGCGUACCAGGUGCUCACCUCGCACAUGAGGAGAGCUUGGUGAUGCCGUUGUCGAAAAUCUCCUGUAGCGCCUGGUCCCAUCUGAGGCCAAAUGUCGUGGCGUGAUGGAGGUUUUCUUUGGUUUGGGUGGGAAGGAGGAAGUUGUAUGGAUAAGAGCGAUGGAAGAGUAAAAUGCAUAGAAUCACCACUUUUGCGUCAAAGCUCUCAGAAAAUCGUAACUUUACAAAUGUGACACUUUGCACCACACCGAAAAAGUGAUAGUGGCGAAAAGCACUGAACCGUUUUCUGAGCUCGGUUUGACGUGGCCAAUCACUCGUGAGCCGACAACGGUGACGACGCGCUGCUAAUGGUCAUGAAGGACCGUUCGGUCGGCUGUCGAAAGUGUUGGAAAUAUGCCCUAGAGGCAAUAAUAAAAGGGUUAUUAUUAUAUUUCCUUAUUCAUGAUAAUUGUCUUUUAUUCAUGCUAUAACUGUAUUAUCCGGAAAUCGUAAUACACGUGUGAAUACAUAGACCAUAACAUGUCCCUAGUGAGCCUCUAGUUGACUAGCUCGUUGGUCAACAGAUAGUCAUGGUUUCCUGACUAUGGACAUUAGAUGUCAUUGACAACGGGAUCACAUCAUUAGGAGAAUGAUGUGAUGGACAAGACCCAAUCCUAAGCAUAGCACAAGAUCGUGUAGUUCGUUUUGUUGUAGCUUUUCCAAUGUCAAGUAUCUCUUCCUUAGACCAUGAGAUCGUGUAACUCCCGGAUACCGUAGGAGUGCUUUGGGUGUACCAAACGUCACAACGUAACUGGGUGACUAUAAAGGUGCAUUACAGGUAUCUCCAAAAGUGUCUGUUGGGUUGACAUGGAUCGAGACUGGGAUUUGUCACUCCGUAUGACGGAGAGGUAUCACUGGGCCCACUCGGUAGUGCAUCAUCAUAAUGAGCUCAAAGUGACCAAGUGUUUGGUCACGGGAUCAUGCAUUAUGGUACGAGUAAAGUGACUUGCCGGUAACGAGACUAAUGGGGUAUUGGGAUACGACGAUCGAGUCUCAGGCAAGUAACAUACCGUCUGACAAAGGGAAUUGCAUAUGGGGUUGAUUGAAUCCUCGACAUCGUGGUUCAUCCGAUGACAUCAUUGAGGAGCAUGUGGGAGCCAACAUGGGUAUCCAGAUCCCGCUGUUGGUUAUUGACCGGAGAGCUGUCUCGGUCAUGUCUGCAUGUCUCCCGAACCCGUAGGGUCUACACACUUAAGGUUCGGCGACGCUAGGGUUAUUAGGAAGACUUGUAUGUGAUUAGCGAAAGUUGUUCGGAGUCCCGGAUGGGAUCCCAGACGUCACGAGGAGUUCCGGAAUGGUCCGGAGGUAAAGAUUUAUAUAUGGGAAGUUGUCAUACGGACACCGGAAGGUUUCGGGGGCAUAUCGGUAUUGUACCGGGGCCACCGGAAGGGUUCCGGGGGUCCACCGGGAGGGGCCCCCCCCUUGGGCCCAUGCGCCUAGGGUUGGGGGGAACCCUAGAGGGGGCGUCCCCCUUGCUUGGGGGGCAAGUCCCCCCUCCCUGGCCGCCGCCCCCCCUCUAGAUCCCAUCUAGAGGGGCCGGCCCCCCUUGCCCCUUCCCCUAUAAAUAGAGGGGUGAGGGGAGGGCUGAACACCCAAGCCAAGAUCAGCCCCUCCCCUCCCCAACACCUCUCCUCCUCCGUUGUGUGCUUGGCGAAGCCCUGUCAGAGUACUGCCUCUCCACCAUCAUCACGCCGUCGUGCUGCUGCUGGAGCCUUCUUCCUCAACCUCUCCUUCCCCCUUGCUGGAUCAAGAAGGAGGAGACGUCGCCUGUACCGUACGUGUGUUGAACGCGGAGGUGCUGUCCGUUCAGCACUUGGUCAUCGGUUAUCUGAAUCACGGCGAGUACGACUCCAUCAUCACCGUUCCCUCGAACGCUUCCGUACGCGAUCUACAAGUGGUAUGUAGAUGCAAACUCACUCCCUUGACUCGUUGCUUAGAUGAACUCAUAGAUGGAUCUUGGUGAAACCGUAGGAAAAAUUUUAAUUUUCUGCAACGUUCCCCAACAGAAAGCGGCUCGAUCAGAACAAUCUCUCUCUCUCUCUCUCUCUAUAUAUAUAUAUAUAUAUAUAUAUAUAUAUAUAUAUAUAUAUCUUGCUUGGGGGACUUGGGGCGCCAGUUGAGUAGUUUCUUCAGAGGAGCGCUGGAGAAUUCGGGAAGUCCGCGCCGAACUAGGUCCGGAAGGGGAACAUCCUCGAUGUAAAACCAUUCCAGAGACCAUUCUUCGGAUCCCUUUUUGGAGUCCCAACAGGGUAGCCUGAUCCGGCUAUGCGCCAUACUUCGGCGCCACCCACUUCGAAUAUAGACCCUCCGCCUUGAUGGCGGGGGCGAGGCAAAAGAACUUUCUCCAUAGUUCGAAAUGAGCCUCACAACCUAAAAACAAUUUGCAGAGAGCGAUAAAACCAGAGAUGUGCAGAAUAGAAGCUGGCGUGAGAUUGUGCACCUGGAUCCCAUAGAACUCCAGUAGACCCAUGAGAAAGGGAUGGAUUGGGAAUCCUACGCCCCUCAGAAGGAACGAAAUGAAGCACACCCUCUCCUCUUGGCUGGGGUUGGGGAAGUUCUCUGCUAACACAUCAUCGCCCAUAGAAGCUAAUCCCGCCCGCAUGGAGACUAGAUCCGCGGGGGGAGAUAUCCUUGCAUCUGAAGUCAAUUCAGCUGAAGGUGGGAUACUGAACAACUUCGCCAAUCCCCCUCUUGAGGGACAUGGGGGCACGAGGAGGAGCCAGGGGCGCUUGCCAUGGUUUGAAGUUUUUUCGUGGUUUGCUUCGGUGCUCUUUGGGCGAUGUGAGGUGGCGUUUGAGGAUCUAACCUCAUUAUAUAGAUGCCACCCACGCCUAGAAAAGUGUUAAAUUGCAAAAAAGUUACGGACCGUCCGCAUUCGUUCAAUGCAUGGAAAUCGAGGCGACGACAGGAAGGAAUCAUAAAGACUGGACGCAAAAGCCGAUACUGGAUUGUCAUCAAUCCGGAGUAUGGUGAAGAAUCCGCCUUGCAAAGUCGAAGACAUGAAUCUGCAUACUACAUCGUCAUUGAAGGCAAGUUCGGGGGCUACUGAGGGAGUCCUGGUUUCGGAGGUCCUCAGGUGUCCGGCCCAAGGAUGGGGCCGGGCUGAAUGGGUCGUGAUAAAGCUGAAGGCCAUCCUCCGUGUUCGGAUAGGAUUCCUAUGUGCGUGGACGGCAGGAUUAGAGUCCGGAUGUAUUGUUUCCUUCCCUUAUGAAUCGACUUUGUACAAACCCUAGGCCCCUCCGGUGUGCAUAUAAACCGGAGGGUUUAGUCCAUAGAUGUUAUCAUCAUAAUCAUAGGCUAGACAAGUUAGGGUUUAGCCAUUAUGAUCUCGAGGUAGAUCAACUCUUGUAGCCUCUAUACUCAUCGAAUACAAUCCAGCAGGACGUAGGGUUUUACCUCCUUUAAGAGGGCCCGAACCUAGGUAAAACAUAGUGUCCCUUCGUCCAUUGUUACCAUCUAUCCUUAGACGCACAGCUUGGGCCCCCCCUACCCGAGAUCUGCCGGUUUUGACACUGACAACAAAUCUUAGAACAUAUUAAGACAAAGUCAACCUACCAUACAGAUUGUGAGAACAGUGCAUCUCCAAUGGAGUGAGUUAAUAGGGUUACUCUCCUUAGUUAAACAGUAGCUUGUUUUCCUAGUUCCUGUUUCACGGAAUCUCUGAUCAUAUAGGUUGGUUUACCAUCAUGGCAAAUCAUGUGGGUCUCAUACCCAUCUCCCUCAAUGCAUUUUCUAUCACGGUUCAUGGUAGACCUUUAGUGAAGGGAGGUGGCAGAUUCUCGGCCGAUUGGAUGUAAUUCAACUCUAUUACUCUGGAGUUUCUUGAAUAUCUGGCAGAUUUCAUUCUUCUUAUAUGUUUUGUGGAUGCAUGUUGUCCUUUGAACUCUUUGCCUUGACAUUUACUGCCUUAUUGUCAAAGCUCAUAAGGCUUAGCCGGAAUUGGGUUUUCAACCACUGUCAAGUCCACCAAAAGCUCUCGAAGCCAUUUUGCUUUUGUUCAUGAUUAAUCUAGUGUUGCGAGUUCUGCUUACAUUGUCGACUUUGUUAAGAUAGUCUGUUUGCAAGACUUUCAGGAAACAACGCCACCACCAAGGAUAAACAUAUAUCCACUUGUGGGUUUCAUCUCCUCAACAUCAUAGAUCCAAUUUGCCUCACUAUACUCUUGAAGUACCGUCGUGUAUCCGGUAUAGUGAAGUUUGUGGCUCACAGUGCUGGAAUUUUUGUCUAUUUGGGCCUAGCCCAAUAGCAGUUUCAGAAAUUCCUAAUAAAUCCUAGAGGCCCACGCAGCCCAUUCGUGCAAGGCAAGAGGUGGAACUAAAGUUUAGUCCCACCUUGCUAGUUUAGAGGGAGUUGGACCUCUUUAUAAGGGAGGCUCCUUCCCCACUUGUAUGAGCAUGAGAACAAGAGGGACAUCCACGCGCGCUCCUCCUCCGCCGCCCGCCUCGCCACACCACGCCUCGUUACGACGCGCCACGGUUUGCGGGAAUGAGCCGAGCCGAUAUCUAAAUUUUUGCCACGCACUACGGGUAUACGAAAGGUCACUCGGAAGCUGAAACAUUUUUUCUGUAGUGGACACUGAAUCCGAACGGCGCGCCCCUUCGGCUGUUGGCUGUUUGUUUUGUCUCCCGCAUUCUCUUCAGCUCCCGACGCAGCCUCUCACCUCCUUCUCUUGCGCCUAUAAAAGGGAGGUCGCUCCUCUCAGAGAGACGCGCCAUAACUACUCCUUCCCUCGCCAUCGGUUCCAUCUCUGAGCUGCUGAUGUCUUCCUCAUCCCGGCUUGCGGCGUGCACCACACGUCGGGACAGUAGGCCUCCGAGACCGCACCUUUUGAGUCCUGUACGGGAGAAGGGUGAUAAGGUUUUUGGGGAGCGCUCAGCGCGACUACUGGCUGCUUCAUCACGGACGAUCCGGUCGCCGACGACUACUUCCCCGAUGACGACUUCUUCCCCGACGUCCACGACCUCCUCAACGACAUGCAGGCGAGGGCACCGACCCCAAGUCCAGCGCUUCUGUUGCUUCUGUACCGUACGUGUUCUUCUCCUCUCUGUUAGAAGUCCUGCUACAGUUCUUGGCUCUAGUUUCUGCCCUACGUAUGUUAGGUUCUAUGUCGUAUCUAGUGUCUGUUCUAGAUGUGUUUACCUCAAGUUCAUAUAUGCAUACGAUGUUUACCUUCUCUCUGUCAGAUUGCAUGACUUGCUUUAAAUUUGCUAUUUUAGUCAUGCUUUAUCUAGUAUUUCUGUUAGCAAAAUUAUUUGGUAAAUUGCUCAAAUUUCCAAAAUUCCAAAAACUUUAUUAUAGGCAAUUUACCUCGAAUGGUUUUGCUGCUUCCAUGAGACCUCCUAUGUUUGAGGGUAUCCACUAUAAGAGGUGGCGCGUGAGAGCAGUCUUAUGGUUUGAAACCAUGAGUUUCUAUGACGCCACUCUUGGUAGACCUGAAGGAGAACUUGAUGCUCAAUAGGCACAAGCUUUUCAGAAAAUUGAUACUUUGUUUAAGGCUGCUCUCUUGAGUGUUCUCAGUGAGAACAUCGUUGAUGCUUAUGCGUCAACUGAUAAUGGAAAAGAUAUGUGAGAUGCACUCGAGGCCAAGUUUGGGGUCUCGGAUGCUGGCACUGAGUUAUACAUCAUGGAGCAAUUCUAUGACUACAGGAUGACUGAAGAGCGCUCCGUGGUUGAGAAAGCUCAUGAGAUACAGUCAUUUGCUAAAGAACUUGAGCAGUUCAAUUGUAUCCUACCGGACAAGUUUGUUGUCGGGGGUAUCAUCACUAAGCUUCCUCCUUCGUGGAGGAACUUUGCUACCUUACUGAAGCAUAAGAGACAGGAGUUUACCGUCCCGGAUCUCAUUGGUACUCUUGAUGUGGAAGAAAAGGCGAGAGCAAAGGACACACGUGCUCGAGGUAUUGAGGGAGGAUCUAGUGCCAAUCUGGUACAGAAGAAAAACUUCCAGUCCCACAAGUUCAAGAACAAGGGCAAGCUUGAUGGUAAAGCAAAGUUUGAUGGGAAGAGCAAGGUUGUACAACACAUGAACUUCAAGAAGAAGAGUGACAAGAAGAAAGGUGCUUGUCAUGUGUGUGGAGAUCCUGAUCAUUGGGCUCCUAGUUGUCCUAAUCGCUAUGACAAGCGUCAUCCUGGGAAAGGCGGCAAGACCGCUAAUGUUGUCAUCGGAGACAUUGACAUGAAGGAUGUUGGGUAUGGUAUAUUUCCCACUAUUCUUUCACUAUGUCAUUCUCCUGAUUGGUUGAUUGACACGGGUGCUAAUGUGCAUGUAUGCGGUGAUAUUUCCAUGUUUUCGUCUUAUCAGACCGCAGGGACUUCAACCGUGCUAAUGGGCAACGGUUCAAGUGCUUCUGUUCAUGGUGUUGGCACGGUCGAUCUAAAGUUUACUUCGGAGAAGAUCGUGCGGCUGAAGAACGUGCAUUAUGUCCCCUCCGUCAAUAAAAAUCUUGUUAGCGGAUCUCUUCUGUGUAGAGAUGGCUACAAGCUUGUCUUUGAGUCAAAUAAAUUUGUAAUAUCCAAGUAUGAAAUCUUUGUUGGUAAAGGCUAUGAGUCAGGAGGCCUGUUUCGUUUAUCCUUAUCAGACGUUUGCAAUAAAGUUGUUAAUCAUAUUUGCAACAAUAGUGAAUCAAAUGUGUGGCAUUUACGUCUUUGUCAUGUUAACUUUGGUUGCAUGUCGCGAUUAGCGAAGUUGAACUUAAUCCCUAGUUUCACCACUGUCAAGGGAUCUAAGUGUCCAGUGUGUGUGCAAGCUAAGCAACCUCGUAAGUCUCACGUGACUGCGGAGACGAGAAAUCUUGCACCACUAGAACUUAUACAUUUAGAUCUAUGUGAAAUGAAUGGUGUUUUGACAAAAGGUGGAAAGAAAUAUUUCAUGACGUUAAUUGACGACUCCACUAGAUACUGCCAUGUGUAUCUUCUGAAAUCUAAGGAUGAGGCUUUGAACUUUUUCAAGAUCUAUAAAGCUGAAGUGGAAAACCAAUUUGAUCGAAAAAUCAAGAAGCUUAGGUCCGACCGUGGUGGAGAGUAUUUUUCUGAUGAAUUUGAUGCUUUUUAUGCGGAACAUGGUAUAAUCCAUGAGGACGCCUCCCUACUCACCUCAGUCAAAUGGGGUGGCCGAAAGAAAGAACCAUACUCUAACUGAUUUGGUUAACGCCAUGUUAGACACAUCGGGUCUCUCCAAGGCAUGGUGGGGGAGGCGAUAUCGACUGCUUGUCAUGUCCUAAACCGAGUUCCCACAAAGAACAAAGAGAUAACUCCAUUCAAGGAAUGGGAGAAGAAAAGGUUAAAGCUCUCUUAUCUACGAACCUGAGGUUGUUUGGCGAAAGUCAAUGUGCCAAUUCCAAAGAAGCGAAAGCUAGGACCAAAAACUGUGGAUUGUGUUUUCCUGGGAUAUGCUUUUCACAGCAUUGGCUAUAGAUUCUUGGUUGUAAAAUCUGAGGUACCUGACAUGCAUGUCGGUACGAUCAUGGAGUCGAAUGAUGCGACUUUCUUUGAAGAUAUCUUUCCCAUGAAGGAUAUGGCUACCUCAUCUAAUCAGGAGAUGCCUAGUUCAUCGAAUUAGGAACCAGUUACAAUUACUGAACCCGCCAUUUCGAUGGAACAGUUUGAAAGUCCUGUGGAGGAGAACAAUGAAGUUCCUACUAGGAGCAAGAGACAGAGGACAGCAAAGUCCUUUGGUGAUGAUUUUCUUGUGUAUCUCAUAGAUGACACUCCCCGUUCUAUUUCGGAGGCCUAUGCAUCGGAAGAUGCUGACUACUGGAAGGAAGCGGUUCGUAGCGAGAUGGAUUCCAUCUUGGCGAAUGAAACUUGGGAGAUAACUGAUCGUCCUUAUGGGUGCAAACCUAUAGGAUGCAAAUGGGUAUUCAAGAAGAAGCUUAGGCCUGAUGGUACUAUUGAAAAGUACAAGGCUCGGCUCGUGGCAAAGGGUUAUACCCAAAAGGAAGGUGAAGACUUCUUUGAUACUUACUCACCUGUGGCUCGACUGACCACUAUUCGAGUUCUACUUUCACUAGCUGCCUCACAUGGUCUUCUCAUUCAUCAAAUGGAUGUUAAGACUGCUUUUCUAAAUGGAGAGUUGGAUGAGGAAAUUUAUAUGGAACAACCAGAUGGGUUUGUAAUAGAUGGUCAGGAAGGGAAAGUGUGCAAGUUGCUGAAGUCAUUGUAUGGACUCAAUCAAGCACCCAAACAGUGGCAUGAGAAGUUCGAAAGAACUUUAACAGCCGCAGGAUUUGUUGUGAACGAAGCUGAAAAAUGUGUGUAUUAUCGCCAUGGUGGGGGCGAGAGAGUUAUGCUUUGCUUGUAUGUUGAUGACAUACUGAUUUUCAGAACAAAUCUGAAUGUUAUUAAGGAGGUCAAGGAUUUCCUAUCUCGCUGUUUUGAGAUGAAGGAUUUAGGAGUGGCUGAUGUCAUUCUGAACAUCAAGUUGUUGAGAGAUGAUGAUGGUGGGAUUACAUUGCUUCAAUCUCACUAUGUGGAAAAGAUCUUGAGUCGCUUUGGCUACAGUGACUGCAAGCCCUCUCCAACACCAUAUGAUGCUAGUGUGUUGCUUCGAAAGAAUCAAAGAAUUGCUAGAGACCAAUUGAAAUAUUCACAGAUUAUUGGCUCGCUUAUGUACUUAGCCAGUGCUACGUGACCUGACAUCUCUUUUGCUGUUAGCAAACUGAGCCGGUUUGUCUCAAAACCAGGAGAUGUGCAUUGGAAAGCUCUAGAGAGAGUUUUGCGUUAUUUGAAAGGCACUGCAAAUUAUGGAAUUCACUACACUGUACAUCCAAAGGUGCUUGAAGGGUAUAGUGACUCAAACUGGAUCUCAGAUGCUGAUGAGAUAAAGGCCACGAGCGGUUAUGUAUUCACUCAUGGAGGUGGCACUGUUUCUUGGAAGUCUUGCAAGCAGACCAUCUUAACGAGGUCAACAAUGGAAGCAGAACUCACAGCACUAGAUACAGCUACGGUCGAAGCAGAUUGGCUUCGUCGGCUCUUGAAUGACUUACCGGUAGUUGAGAAACCUGUACCGGGUAUUCUUAUGAACUGUGACAAUCAAACUGUGAUCACUAAAGUGAGCAGCUCAAAGGAUAACAUGAAGUCAUCAAGACACGUUCAGAGAAGGUUAAAGUCUGUCAGAAAAAUGAAAAACUCCGGAGUUAUUGCAUUGGAUUAUAUCCAAACAUCUAAAAAUCUGGCAGAUCCUUUUACUAAGGGUCUAUCACGUAAUGUGAUAGAUAAUGCAUCGAGGGAGAUGGGAAUGAGACCCACAAUAUGAGUUGUUCACAGUGGUAACCUAUUCUUUGUGAUCGGAGAUCCCGUGAAUUAGAUGUGGAAGACAAGUUGUUGGUCAACUGAGAGGAGAGUAUCCUUACUGUUAAAAUACCACUCCAUGAAGAUGCAAUACUAUCCUAAUUUGCAUGGAAGGUUGAUAUAUAUCUUAAUGUGUUCUAAGUGGCUUUUUGAAGCAGAGAUGUUAUCCUGCAGAACAUCUUUCGAAGAACGCACCUGUAUGAGUCUGAUUGUUAAACGUCGCAAUCUAUGAGAGUAGGGUUCUCUCUAGUAAACUCAUGAAAGGUCACGGAGUAUGACGCAUAAGCUCCACCCACGGGGAAGACCCACGGUAGCCACGUAUCGGUCAAGGCUUUAUGUGAAGCUAGAUUCGCAGAAAACUUGCAGUUCAAGGCCCACUCCACUGUUCAAGUUUCUUACUAGUGUAGCAUAGGGUUCUAGGUGGAAGUUCAACUUAACAGUCUCCACUACAAUACCGGUAUAUAAAACAGUGUUUUAGAACCAAAGGCGAAUUUUGUGUGCCUCUGGGAUCUGGUGGGGGAUUGCUGGAAUUUUUGUCUAUUUGGGCCUAGCCCAAUAGCAGUUUCAGAAAUUCCUAAUAAAUCCUAGAGGCCCACGCAGCCCAUUCGUGCAAGGCAAGAGGUGGAACUAAAGUUUAGUCCCACCUUGCUAGUUUAGAGGGAGUUGGACCUCUUUAUAAGGGAGGCUCCUUCCCCACUUGUAUGAGCAUGAGAACAAGAGGGACAUCCACGCGCUCCUCCUCCUCCGCCGCCCGCCUCGCCAUGCCACGCCUCGUCACGAUGCGCCGCGCCGCGGGAAUGAGCCGAGCCGAUGUUUAAAUUUUUGCCACGCACUACGGGUAUACUAAAGGUCACUCGGAAGCUGAAACAUUUUUUCUGUAGUGGACACUGAAUCCGAACGACGCGCCCCUUUGGCUGCUGCCUGUUCGUUUCGUCUCCCGCAUUCCCUUCAUCUCCCGGCGCAGCCUCUCGCCUCCUUCUUUUGCGCCUAUAAAAGGGAGGUCGUUCCUCUCAGAGAGACGCACCAAAACUACUCCUUCCCUCGCCAUCGGUUCCAUCUCUGAGCUGCUGCUGUCUUCCUCAUCCCGGCUUGCGGCGUGCACCGCACGUCGGGACAGUAGGCCUCCGAGACCGCACCUUUUGAGUUCUGUACGGGAGAAGGGUGAUAAGGUUUUUGGGGAGCGCUCAGCGCGACUACUGGCUGCUUCAUCACGGAUGAUCCGGUCGCCGACGACUACUUCCCCGACGACGACUUCUUCCCCGACGUCCACGACCUCCUCAACGACAUGGCAGGCGAGGACACUGACCCCAAGUCCAGCGCUUCUGCUGCUGUUGUGCCGUACGUGUUCUUCUCCUUUCUGUUAGAAGUCCUGCUACAGUUCUUGGCUCUAGUUUCUGCCCUACGUAUGUUAGGUUCUAUGUCGUAUCGAGUGUCUGUUCUAGAUGUGUUUACCUCAAGUUCAUAUAUGCAUACGAUGUUUACCUUCUCUCUGUCAGAUUGCAUGACUUGCUUUAUAUUUGCUAUUUUAGUCAUGCUUUAUCUAGUAUUUCCGUUAGCAAAAUUAUUUGGUAAAUUGCUCAAAUUUCCAACACACAGUACCUUGCAAAUAGUGCAUAACUCUUUCAACAUCAUGACAAUGCACAUCUCCUAGAUUGGAAACAAACCAGCCCAGUUGGCUCACAAGAAACGUGAUGUCAGGGCUCGUAGCGCAAGCUAGGUACAUAAGUGAACCAAUCACUUGGGUGUAUCUCGUUUGAUCUAUAGUGGUGCCUUCGGAUUUUCGAAUCCGCGCGUUGGAGUGGAUCAUAUGGUGUUGGAGAAGUUUUGCGAUCCGAAUACCCAAAGCGAGUCAGAAUACUACUCCACCAAGUGAUCUGCCUUUGGACGAGCUUCGCCAAGUGCUCCGCCACUCAAUGCAAUGCACCUUCGAGGCCACCGCGGAGAUCAGGACUGCGCUCGCUCGCCCAGUCACCACCACAUUCCUAAUUACUUACUAGGGCUUGCCGCUAUCUAUCUAUGCCGAAGGUGCCAACCUCGGUGUUGUUGACGUUGGUGGAGAAGAUGCUCAAGAAACUUGCGCGCUCCUCCUGGCACGUGCUCUCGGCCAUGCCCGUCCACAUCCUGCUGGCCAUGUAUAUCAAUCCACCAUUCUUCGGUGAGUCACUCGCGUCAUUCACGAUUUCCUCUGGCAUGGUCGCAAGUGUUAGAAUUAAUUAACCAUGUGUUAAUUAUGGGAUUAAUCCCUGCUUGUACUAACCGCAUGCCGUUGUAAAACUACCGUGUCGGUUCCCGCCGAACAGGCACCUCCUCUGAACAGACACCUUUUCUAGUGGUGUCCUUUCCCUUGUAUAAAUAGCAGAUGGCAUCUAAUAAAGAAGGGACUUGAUUCAUUCAAACACGUUAUCAGUACGCUCUGGCGAGCAGUGGCGGAGCCAAGGGGGGGCGAGCAGGGGCCNNNNNNNNNNNNNNNNNNNNNNNNNNNNNNNNNNNNNNNNNNNNNNNNNNNNNNNNNNNNNNNNNNNNNNNNNNNNNNNNNNNNNNNNNNNNNNNNNNNNNNNNNNNNNNNNNNNNNNNNNNNNNNNNNNNNNNNNNNNNNNNNNNNNNNNNNNNNNNNNNNNNNNNNNNNNNNNNNNNNNNNNNNNNNNNNNNNNNNNNNNNNNNNNNNNNNNNNNNNNNNNNNNNNNNNNNNNNNNNNNNNNNNNNNNNNNNNNNNNNNNNNNNNNNNNNNNNNNNNNNNNNNNNNNNNNNNNNNNNNNNNNNNNNNNNNNNNNNNNNNNNNNNNNNNNNNNNNNNNNNNNNNNNAGUCUUUACCGUCAAAAAUGCCCUCCUAAUCUUCCGUGAGUAUAUGUAGCUUAUCUCAAACAAAUCUCCCAUGAUUAGCGCUGCCGUCCUGCUGCCCUUGCCUUGAGGUUGCGAUUUCUCUCGACCAGAUUCAGAUUACAAACGUUGGCACCUCCUCCGCUCCUUGUUUAUAAAAUCUGGGUACUCGUAAGUCCUCCGAAGAUUGCUGCCGAUUGCGCUUGGUGGAUUAAUCACACAUGUCCGGUGAAAUUGUCGCAGAUCAAAUUCUCAAGGUAUAUUCCCUGCAAAAAACUUUUCAAUGACACUUGGGUAAAUCUGCUUUGUCUGAUGUGGUAAUGCAUGUGAUCAUAUGACAAAUACGAAUUUAAUUAAUCUUUUGCCUUAUAUUAGCUAUAAUUUCUAUUGGAAAAAUGAAGUGAAGAAAAUAAUUUGUUUCCUUUCUAAGGACUUGCUUCAAUUCUUAAACCCUACACAUGGUGUAGGUGUACUAGAGCUAGAUAUACAUUGGUAAUUGUUGAACAUGCGUACAUCACUGUGUUUAUAACUUUAUAUAUAUGCUAGACGAAAUAUAAACAUGUAGCAUUGUGGCGAGCGUUGUCUCUUUGCCCCCCCCUAUGCUCAAAUCCUGGCUCCGCCCCUGCUGGCGAGAGCAGAAGGCCACGAGAGAUUAGGCCAUCCCGGCGGUUACGGAUGUUACUUUCGUCGCGGAUGGCAGGCGGUGCAACCGGAAGCGGAAGUAGGAACCGGAAUCGUUCCAUUGAGCGCUCGCGGCGGGACAUCUUCCGGUGACGAGGCGAUGGAGCCCAGGUGCCGGCGCUCGACCGCAGCGUCCUCCAGCGCAUGGUUUGGUCUCACCCUCUCCUUCCCCUUCUCCCAGACGCCGUCCACAGUGGCCGCAUAAGCGGCCCUCUCCGGCACGGCCGACCGCGGCGCAUCUGCGACCCCGGCCUGCUACGCAAGGCACGGCCGACCGCGGCGCAUCUGCGACCCCGGCCUGCUACGCAAGGCACGGCGGCGUGGCAAGCGCCUCCCGACCGGAGACUCGGCGCCUAUAGCGGGGAACAACCCGGCCUCGACCUCCCGGCGCGCGGAGCCCACAGCGGAUCAUCGACAGCGGCGCACCCGCAUCUUCUACGUCCUGGCGACGACGAAGACGGGCGAUGGAGGCGAGGCAGCCAGCACCCGACGCGGCUCCCGGCAUCCACGUGGAGUUCCUGCAGCCACGGUCCUGCCCGACGGUCGGCACAGGCCUCCUCCGGCGCGGCGAGGCCCAGCGUGCGAACGGUGUCGUUUCCACCGCCAGACUACGGCGGUGGCGACCCUCGACCUGCGCUCCUUCCUCCGGCCGGCUGGUGCGCGGCUACGCGGAGCGGGACGUCGAGUACGGCCUCGGCCCGGUCCUCCUCGCGUAGCCAUGGCCCUGCCCCUCGGCCUAGGUUGACGCGGACCUCCAUGGCACGCGGCGCGGUGCCCGUGGCGUCGUUCAGCGUACGCCGACGAACUCCGGCGCGAGGCAACUCAGCACCGCGCGCGAGGCGAAGGCAUCCAUGGCUGGAUCUCCCGGAAGCGGCGGCGAUGGCUCCUGUGUAAAGCUAACCGACACAGGACAACGAUGGGAACCUUAUCUCUUUGAAGGUUUUUUCAUUGUAGCCCUCUGGUUAUGCACUAACCCCGCACAAGUGGCUAUGUAUUUGCAUUGACCAUCAAAUCAGGCCACAGGCUGUGCAUUGGAGACCGUCAGAUAUCUCCAUAUCACAUUUACAAUAUAUGUAAAUGAUGGUUUCAGAUAUACUCUGUGAAAAUGGGACAUGUUCAUCGUAUUUGCUCUCUAUCAAUUCCUUUCAAAUAAUUCAGAUCUUAAGUUGAUGUAAUAUAUUUCCACGUUUACCACGUGUUGAGAUUAAUUACGUUCAUUUGCAAUUGAGAUUUCUCAUCUCUUGCAAAGAUAAAUUCAGUACCUCUGCAGUACUGUUUCUCCG